rnacentral:lncRNA from 1 species
UUUUUGAGAAACUUCUAUUUUCUUUAGGUAAGGAGGGAACCUGUCUUUCCUAAGGCUUAACAGACUCUAACUAAGUACAUGACUCUUUCCUUAACGAUGCUCUGAUACCACCUCUUCUGUGACGCCAUGUUACGUCCAACAGAGUCAGGCGUAACGGAAGCCGUCACUUCAGAGUUGCGCCAGGAUCAGUUAAGGAAAACAGUAUCAUGUACAAGACGGAGCAACUGCCAUGAGUAGGCAAGCUUUUAUUACAUAGACACCUCAAGUGUCGACUAAGCCUAAGCGACCAUGACAAUAGAUCGUCACCCGCUUCUAGUGCGAGCCUUCUAGACCAACCAUGGAGAACAUCUACUCUUCAUAGACUUGAUUGCCAACAUCCUCAUGAUCAUACUUCACUUCAGAAUAACCAUAGUCGUCAAGAUGACCAGACUCAUCAUAAGUACCAUUCUCUAGUGCCUUAGAGUUCUCAUAACUCCCUUGUUCUGAAAAACAACAUAAGUGCAGCUGAGUACGUAUAAAAUACGUACUUCGCAAGUCGCCGGGAAAAGUGGAUGCAUGAGUAUUCUUAAGAGGAAAAACUUUAUCGGCCACGGCUACCACCAUAGAGCCAUUAGCUCAAAAUACUUUGUAGGUAAAAAAAAUUAUUUUCCCUUAACCCAUUUUGUUGAAAAUCAAAUUUUAUUUAUAAAAUCUACUGGCGACAGAGCGAUGUGGGAUCUUACAUCCUGUGUUAGAGGAAAACCCACACGACGCACUUCCAAACCCGGAAGCUGGGAGUGAUAUCACAUUUAUUCUGAUCAGAGGUGUACUGCUUUGCCCAUAGCAUCACUUGGUCCAAGUCGUCCAUGCGCUACCCGUGCGCACGACUAGACCAAGGCACCAGAACCUUUAACCAGCUCGUAGACUACCUCUGCUUUUCCACCUUGCCUUACUAUAGGCCCGCGGGCCGAGACCCCUGACCGGCGGUCCCGCCCUAGGGUGACUGUACCUACCCGGCUACAGCCACCUUCUCACCCAUGCAGAGGCAAUUACUUGGCAUCGGUAGUCGGUUCAGCCCGUCCCAUUCCAGGCCUAUGGUCAGUACGGUUUGCGCCGCUUUUGACGUAAGCGCCAGUUGGUUGUGUCCUAAUGUGAUACCCUAUGUAGAGGAGUCUGCCAUCCAAGCCAACCCUACAUGGGUCGUCUUCACCAACAUGAGCUCCCAUACCCACCAAAUUUUUAGUUAUAAUGUAACCCUGCCCGGGUCACGACUACUUAAUACAGAUACUUCACCUGAUCUGGUCCAAUUGCCAAAUCAGUGGAUCCACCUGAUCCAAAUAUCAUUUUAUUUAUGAAAAGUAUUUAUUUUUAAUUCUUAUGCAAAAUUUUGGAAAUGACUCAUAGCCCGGAAAACAUUUAUGAAGACAUGAUCAAGGAGAUGACGACUUGCCGGGUAGCGCCCCGACCAACUCGAAACCACCAGAUGGGGGUUCUAUGGGUCUGAGAUCGACUCCUGAUAAUUAUUUCACAAAGAAGUUUAUAUUUUCCCUAAUCAAGAUCCAAGCAUCAAGAAACAAUUCCAUACGGUGCAAUCCAUUUUAAUUAAAGAGGCAAUGAUACAUGCUAGUGUGUAAUUAGAAGCAAAAUGCAUACAACACAUCAAGAAGUAGUACGCACAUGCACAUCACAAAGAGCAAGCAAGCAAGCUCAAAAGGAAAAAUGUGUUUAGCUGGUCGAACCCAACCCCGGCAGAAAUAUCAUUUCUUUUUUCUCCAACUAGUCAUCUUACCCAGCUCUCUUCCUCUCUCUCACUGUCACUGGUAUGCUCAGCCACGAACAUAACCAACUCCAUCUCUCUCUCCCUAACUACAGAGCAGGCCGCCGCCGGCUCGAUCUGCCACUUCCGGCCAUCUCCGGCGACACCGCGGACACCCACAGAAUCCCCUCAACUCCCUCUACCAUAUACCCCCAUUUAUUUGAUCCGCCGCCGCCAAAAUCGCCGCCACCCUCAAACCCCAGCGCCGUCUGCAUCGGGUCCGAUGGGUUCACCACGGGCCGCAGCAGCAAUGGCAUCUCCCUACCUACAAACUCCUCCUGCAGAGCUGCACGCACGAGGCGUGCAACUAUGGCCGUCAGGCGUGACCAUCUUAACCGGUGCGGCUCCGGCAACAUGGCCGCUACAGACGCCCGGCUCGCCUUUGUCUACUGCUACUAGGGUAAGUGCCAGUCCAAAUUUCUCUCUGUGCAGUGUUCUUACCUCUGCUGCAAGUGUUUGUGCUAUGACUCCCCUUACUGCCAUGCUUCUUGUUAAUCUCAAGACCAAGGAAUUAAUCAAGCUUUACUCUAUGGUGUGGACGUGGUCUCCAGAUUUAUUCUAUAUUGUUUAUUCAAUUUUUAGCUCUACUACACUAUCCUCGCACUACUAUGAUUCUUUUUUAAUUAAGCUCAUAACUAGGAAUUAACCAGUGAAUUCCUACUGUCACCGACUUGAUUAAAAAGCGACAAGUUAAUUUCUUGUGAUGGUUAGGUGCUGCCACAAACUAAAUCUAAAUGUUGCUUCUACUGUGUGUGCGCGUGCACUCAUUUCUGCACCCUACAACAGUCAAGUGAACAUCGACAUUGAUCACUCAAAACAUUCUUAGAAAGGGGAUCAUGAAAGGGAAAAUAAGAGGAUGUCAGGAAUUUAUUUGUACAAGAUUUGCACAAAGUAUGUUUUUUUUUUUUUUUUUCAGAAUGAUGCAUGUGCAAAUGAGACAAGGCAAACAUUAGCCAAACAGUGUUCAAUACAACUAGGAAGGGAUCAUUAAGAUGAGUAGCAUACACAGGAAGCUUGAGCUAUUAGCUGUACAUGUAAAUCUUAGCAAGUUAAUAUUUGGGAUUUAAUUCUCAGCAUGACAUGUCUAUUAUAUACAUAGAUCUAGUACAAGACAGAGAUGGACAUGCACAGUACACAUGCAUCACUUAACCACCAUGUACUAAUUUGUCUUCAUCUAAUAUAUGUGCUUUCUUUUUCUAACCAUCAUUCUUCUUUUUACAGAGUAACUAGAGUCCAAAAGAGCAGGUGUUCAUGUUCUAAGCAAAGGUGAAGAUGGAUCAAGCAAACAAAGCUGCAAAAGCAAGGCACUUGAAUAGUACCUGAUGGCAACUCAGCAUCCGACCAAAAGAGUGGAUGGGGAUGGUGGGGAGAGCUUGGUUCUCUCUUGUGCGUGUUGUGUGCAGUAGAGGAAGUCAAAGGUGAAAGGAGGUGGCUGCUAUUUAUAGUAGUGUAGGGUGCUAGGUCGGUUUGGUAAAAGAGAGAUGUGGCUGACAUGCCUGGUUGCAUGAGCAUGCAAGCCUCCACAUGUAAUCAUGUGAGUUGUACAACGGACAAGUGUAUAGUGCAUGGUUGGACACGAGUUGGCAUAUACUUUGUGUGUAAGGAAUGAGACAAGGGCCUAAUUGUAAAUCUGCAAACUAUAAGGGAGUUGGAGAAGAACUAAUGUACAUGGCUAAAUACUAACUUUUUUGUUGCAAUAAAUUUUUGAUAUUAGUGUUGUGGUUAAUUAUAAUUAUUCAACUAACUAUGCCUUCUGACACUGGUGUAACAUAGCGCUGUCAAAAAUAUCGUUAUCUAAUUUUAAGGGUUUUUACAGUAGCCAUGAUAGUUUCAUUUAUAUUUGAUGGAAUGUUGUAACGAGAUAAUUUUGAGGCAAGACACAUGAAUCAUAAGUUGAAACCUUUUUUUUCCUGCAGGAACCAAAGUUGAAAACUUCAUAGCUUGACAAUACAAUUUCAUUAAAAUUAUGCGUACAUAUAAACAAAUCUUGAAGGAUUGAUAGUAAUGCCAGAAACAAUUCAACUUCGUUUCGCCGACAUGUUGGACAUCCUUCAAUCGGCUUCACCUGCCAUGCAACAAUAUUGAGUGCACAACACAACUGCAGGGAAAGAUUCACCCCGGUCGUUGCGCCGCAGUAGUAAUGACUAGUGAGCAGUCAAAUCAUAGAGCCCCACCUUCGCCAUAGUAAGUUGCUCGGACGAAGCAACCAUCAUUUCUCUGCUCCUUGAAUCCACUGGUACUCCCAUAUUCCCACAGUAAUAAGUUGCUCGGGCGAAUCAACAAUCACUUCACCUUUCCCUCAGUAAGUACUAGUACCUCCUUUUUUACUCUAGAAACAACCACAAGCGAAUAUUGGACGGUAGCAGCACGACAAUAGAAUAAAAAUUUCUAUAGUAUGAGAAUAACUUUGAACGUAAGCCAUUGAUUCACUCUAUCCAAUGGUCAUAGUUGGAAAAUCCAAACAAAACCAAGCAUUGGAUCAACUCUUUUAGCACUCAGAUUGUUGCCGCCUACUCAACUGCCUGCCCACCUAUAUAUCCGCUGACGUGUGAUGACCACAUGAGCUAUCCAUUCAGAUUGUAUGUUAAAAAAUAAAGGUUGAUAACUAAUGCAGCACCUUGGGCCAACGCGGCCAUAUUGCAUUUUGCACGAGAAAUUACGCACCAUGUUUCGUUGACAUGUGGUCCUGUUCCAACAUGUCAGUGAGACGAUGGCAAGUCCUUUUCUACUAGUAUUUCCAAACAGACGUGUAGGCCGGGGCGCCUCUUAGUGUACCGUGGCAAACUGGCAACCGUCCACCGACUCUUCGCCUUUCCCUCUCGAUUUGGAACUGCUGUCGCACGCUCUUCCUACCUCCUCCAUUUGCAUUGACCCUUCCUUCUGCCAUUGUUUGAUCGUCUUCUCCAUGGAGAGAACAGGGCCGAAACGACCCCGUUAUUCUUGCCUCGAUCUGAAAGAUGACAUGGUGGAGGAACUCAUUGAUCGGUGUGACGUCAUCACCUCGGCUAGCAUGGCAGGUUCGUUCAAAACCAUUCUCGACUCAACUAAUAACAUCAUUAAAAGGAACCCUAGGGUCCAGGAGCGGUUUGAUCUCCCCUAUCUUCUUUGCUGUGACCCUGAUGACUGGCGCGGGACGACGGAGGCCUCACCUUGUGUAAGUUGAUGCUGCUUGAUAAUGAUACGUAUGAUGUUAAGAUGCCAUCGCUUGAGGGCAAGGAUUGGGCAGGCGCAAAUAGAGAUUGGGUUGUUUAUAUUGGGUACAACUGCGAGUGGGAACUUGUGAAUGUGUACACUCGUCACCGGGUUCCACUUUGAAAAAUCUCAGCAGACUUCCCAAAGGUUGAGCACAUCGGUAUUCUACGCACGUUCAAAUACGAUCAUGGUGACUGUCUUCUAUGGAAGAUAGCAAUUCAUCGAGUUCCCAACCGCUCUUGGAAUUACAAGAACUAUGAAGUUGUUGUUAUCUUCGACAAGCUUGUUGCCAUCCUUUGUGGUUCGACUCAAUGGAUAUUGCUCAAAAAUCAGUUUCUAUACAAGGAUGUGUACUGUGAUGCAAUUCAAUACGAGGGUCCUGUGUUUUUGCAUGGGAUACUCGUAGUUUCGAUACGUUUUUCUUCCGCCGUAAUUAUAAUUGUUUCAUCCACAUGCAUGCAGGUUUGCAAGUCUCCCUUUGGUAAUUAACCUUCUUCUUGUGUUUCCAAGGUCCUGUGAACAUUCCACCACCUAUACUUGAAAAUUUUUAUAACCAAGGGGGAGAUGACGAUGGUGAUGAUCACGAGCAUGAGGAUGAGCAGAACUUAUAUACUUAGUGGCGCCUAGCAACUAAUUCCGAUGGAUCACCUCUUCUUGUCUGUAUACAGCGCACUGAGUUUGUUACUACUGAGGGAGCAUGUGUUGUCUCCCAUGGUCGCACUCUCCAGACCUAUUCCAACACUCGUUGCAUGGUAUUCAGGAUGGAUACUAGUGUGCUAGCGCCAACACCUUCUCCCUGAUACAAUAUUGAUAGUCUUGGAGAAAACUUGCUCUUCCUUGGACAAAACUAUCCGAUGAUGGUGAAAGGCGAUCCAACUGUCGUUGACACAAUGUUACUACCAUUUAUGAGAAGCAAUUGUAUCUAUACCUUGGACAUUUGGGUGGUUCCCUACCCUGGUACUGAUAUAGUAGGCCGCUUCAGCCUAGAUGAUCACUCCUGCGUUGGUCUCGAGAUUGACAAUAGAUGGCCCGUCCUAGAGAAUCACUUGUGGUUCAAAGCAAGUGUUUCCAACGCCGAGGAUUGGUUGAGUUGAAGUUCAUUUCAUUGCUUGUUAUUAGUUGUGUGAUGAAAACUUUAGUAUUUAUAAUGUAUCCUCAUUGUCGUUGUGGGUUGAUGACCUUCUGUAUGUAAUAAAAUGAUAUGCCUGUGAUAAACUUACUAAAUUUAUGAAUGGCUUUCGAGUCGCUUCUCUGAGUGAGUGCUGCGACGAGGCAAAAAAUAUUUUCCAAAUACAUAGUUGUACGUGCAUUGCAAUAGGUUAUCGGAUGAGGCCAAUCAAUAAUAGUAGUACACUAUUUGUACUAGCUUCACAUGCUUUGCGCACCAAGUGGGUGGUUCUACUAUAGCUGCGAAUCCCAUCAUCCUAGGUCCUCGGAUGAGUCCAGUAGAAAUUGCAUUCUGAUGUUUGGGUUCAAACUUUUAGAACUGCUGCACUAUCUCUACAUCUACGUACACGUAUUACAACAAGUUUUAAACUUGAGACCAGCCACCCACCCGCACAAAGAACACUUUUUAACCUAGCACAGACUCCAGGAAAUUUGGCCAUAGUGUGAGGUGGGCCAUAUGUUAAUGUGUUCGCUGUACGUAACCAGCACCUCGAAUCAUCAAUACUACUACUAUAUAAGUAGUAGGAGUAGUAGGGUGACAUGGGCCAGAACAAGCAUUCACGUCCAGGAGUACGACACACGCCACCAGCACGACUUCCAUCUGACACCAUAUUUCUUGGAGUCCGUGCCACAACAAUCUAUUCAACCUCGUCGUUUCUCUAACUCAGCCAUCGCGCGUCAGGCGAGGUGGGGGUUUGCCGAUAGUCAGUUUUCUCAACUGCUGUCCCACUUGUAAGGCCAACUCCAACGCACGACCCCAAGCGGACCUCCAUUUUGCUCGGAUUCUGACCGUUUGGGUAGGGCAAUGGGUUUGUGUUCGGGCCAUUUUUAGGAUGUGGUUGCCACGCGCCCAACGCGCGGACGCAUCCCGGCCGCGUACAUUUUUCUUGGCAAACACAUAUCUUUUUUUCAUCAUUGAUUUUUUGGUACAUGAAAAUACAUCACCAAAAUUUUGACUAGAAAAGCAAGACCAAAGAAAACAAGAGCCACAAGAAUACAUUUUAGAAGAUAUCCAACUUUCAUAACUGCUCCUGUAAGUUGGAUUAGUGCCUUCUCAAUGCAUUCAUUGUUGAUCUACAGAGGCUCGAUCUUGCAUCCUGCUUUCUUCUUUGAGUGUAAAGAAGUAGACAUUGCUUCCUCGCAUCUAGUCUCAUGUCUAGCCUCUAUUCUAUCAACAAGUGCACUAGUCUCAUCUCUAGCCUCUAUGCUAGCUAAAAUUGCUAGAACAUCUACUAAAUUGCGCUCUAUCAAUAUAUCGAUGUACUCUUCUUCCCAAUACCAAAACUUGCAUCCAUUCUACACAACAAAAUUUUAAGUUAGCACAACUAGUCUAAUCCGAGAGCACAACCGAGGAUUUGGUCGAGUUCUUCCUCCUUUUGCCGACACGUGGGACAUCCAGCAUCCAGGUCGUGUCAUGCAAGAAAAUAAAGUGGUAGUUGAAGCCACGUGAUGUGCAUUUGGGUUAAAAUGUAAAUAGAAUCUUACUACUCUUGAGUAACUCCAAAAGCGACAACCGAAGAUCUUUAUUGGAUUUGUUUUUCAUCACCAGCACAUCGAGGUGAAAGAUGUGCUGGUUCAGUGGGUCCUCUUGCGUUUUCACUGACAUGUGGGACCGCAUAUGAGCAAACAGACGAUGGGCUCCGCACGUCUGCUGGCUGGCUGAGAAGAAAGAUAGAGGAGGGCUGAGCACAGACUCUAUAAAAUUUGUUCUACAUAACCAGCACCUCGAUAUUUGUGUGUGUUUGUUUCUAGAAUAAAAAAAGAAGGUACUCCUAUUUAUGUUACUUCCACUACGCCUAGCCUAAGGUUAGUAGGUGACCUUGCACUUGGCUCUUCGCCUCUUCCAGAAGUCGAACGUUCUACAGUAGUACUUCUGGCAAUCUGACACCAAAUGAACUGCUGCACGUCCACCGCUUGUAAGUAAAAGUUUCUCGUCGUGCUGCGAGCCACCGCACACGCGUUGGCGAGGGAGAAGGCGUAAUCAAGCUUCUCGUCGUUCUGCGACUUGACGAGACACAUCAAAGUUAUUUAGUAUGUACUCUCUCCAAAAAAAAGGGUUGACCAUGUCAUGGCUACCAUCCCGUGCUCUGUCGUUGAGUACGUGCACUAUUCACAUGCCAUCGAGGAGAAAUAAUAUUGUGUAGUAGGUGUCAUCAAAGUGCAUGACUCACUUACGCAUUGCUUAUCUGAUUAUCUCCAUUUUCUUGCAUGACAUGUGCACCUUGAUGCUAGAUGUCUCGCGUGUCGGGAAACGGAUGAACAAAGCUCACGUAAAAGAAAAGAGUUGAAGAACAUAGAUUCCAGACGACCGAGAAGGAGCAAGGAACCUCGCGGUGGAGCGUCUGCAAGGAACCUUGCAUGUUUUCCCCUGUUUUUUGCCGCCUUCCCACCUAUAAACAAAUAAAAGAACAUGAACUCUUCGCUAACCACUAGAAAUGAUACAUCAGGAUGCUAAGUUGAAGAUGUUUUAUAUUUUAUAUUGAUAACCACGCAACCAGCCACACAUGUAUAGGACGCAUGCAGCCACGCAUGUACACACGCCAACGCACUAACUCCAUCCGAUCCAACUCAUGCACAUACGCGCAUAGUAUGGAGCACACAAUGCACAUACACAACACGUGCAUGCACACACACUCGGCCGCAGAAUGCACGUGAAUAACACAUGCAUGUGUACACACUCGGCUGCAUGGAGGCGUGCGCCAUCUGUGGCGAUGUCCAGUUUGUCGUGCUAAGGAGAAGCUCACACACAACGGUGCCUACACAUCUCUUGCAGCACCUCUUUACCGUCGUUGCUCAACGACUAGUCAGAGACGAAGACGACCGCAGCCUCGGCCUUAGAGCUAGCACUGAUGGAAAAACACGCACGCUGCAUGCACACGAGCAUGUACGAAGUGCCCAUGAUGUGGUGCAUCCCCAGUAGCCUCUACUCCUUUGGCGCACGUUGUCUAUCAAGGCGGCUGCAUGCCUAAUGAUGAUGUGGAUGAGAUCUUCUAGGACUCAUAUGAUGACGAGAAAAAUUAUGAGACACAAGGUGACGUACACCGUCAAGGUCCACGGUCAAGGGGUGCUAAAUGCUAAGUGCUUAGAUGUGCUUAGAUGAGGUGCUAAGUGCAUUAAAUGGCUUAGUAACUCAAUUCUUCAUUGCAUAGGUGCUUAGUUUAUUGUUGCUAAGCUUGCUUCAUUUAAUUAGCUAUAGACUCAAAAAUGUCUUUCCCGUUUCUUCCCGCGGUCACCAAACUAGUAUCUCUCUUUUUAGUUAACUUGCCACAUCAUAUUUUAUGCCUUCGUGGCAGGCUUAGCAACUAUACAUGGUGGAGCACUGGGAGAGGCCAAGGCUAGUCAUAGUGGGGAGUAACUUAUACUGUAACAUAUUACUAUGUUACUCUAAACAUCUCUAUAAACCGGAAAGGAGGGAGUAGAAACAUAGACUAGUGUCAUAUGCAGAGUAUGGGAGAACAUGAUAUUUCCACAUCCGGACAGCCCAAGUUGGCUUCUCACCUUCUUGGCCCAACAAAAACCCCUCCCCCUCCCGCGCGCGCUUCCCGCCCGGCGCCAGCUGAGCCCGCCACUCCACAUUGAUGGCAAGUCAGGGCGACGCAACCUCUCACUGCUUCCUCCAUUGAAGCGGCACGCCGAUCGAGGGCACCACCCACUGCACGUCCGACAUUUCAGACUACACAGUGGAGAGUAACUUUAGAGCAAGUACUGCAAUUAGAUGACAUAAGCAAGCUAUAAGGAUUUAAAUAUAGUAUUUGUGCUUAGUUGAAGGAGAGAGAAGAGGAGAGAGAAGAGAAGUAGAUUGUAAACUUGUAACCGGUUGUAGCAGGAGCCCCAACAUACUUUGUGAGACAAAAGGUGGGGCCAUUAUUAAUGAUAUAGUAUUUAUAAUAAAGGGACUAACGGACACCUUAAUUACUCCGGUUUUUUUCAAACAAACCUUGGUGGGGCUAUUAUUGACUUGGACGUGGGGUUUGGGGGCCAAAGGCCUACUAUUAUACUUGGUCUUACUCGCACGACCGACCUGACAUGCUCUACCCUAGCCGCCGCUGUAUCAUAUGGUUUCGCACUGUUCCAGAUCUUAGCGUCUCCACAUAAUUCUUCUCCGGCCCUCCUUCUGGCGUGCACCGCGAGAAGGGACAGCAGUCCUCCGAACCCCGCCUUUCGUGAUCCUGUACGGGAGAGGGGCGAUCAGGUUUUUGGGUAGCACACUCCUGUGACUGCUGCCAGCGACGACUUCCUUAAUGACAGCCUUCUUCCCCGACCUCGGUAACCUCUUCAUCAGCGGCAUGAGUGACAACAUCAACCACAUCGGUUCUGCUCCCACUGUACAGUAUGUGAUUCUGUCCUCCUGGUUUAGUCCGCGUCAUUACUUUGAUGUUUGCAAUUGUCGUCAUGAUCUAUUUACUGCUGAUUCAGAUUAAUUCUCAUAGUAAAUUGCUCAUAUAAUUCAACAAUCCAAUCCAAAAACCUGAUUAUAGGCAAUUUACUCCGAGUGGUUUUGCUGCACUUUUAAAGCCGCCUACUUUUAUGGGGGUGCAAUAUAAAAGGUGGCACACAAGAGCAGUAUAUUGGUUUCAGAUCAUGUACUACUAUGACGCCACUAAGGGUAAGCAUAAGGGCGAUAUUAAUCCUACACGGCAGGAAGCUUUUGAGAACAUGGAUACCCUCUUCAAAGCCGCCCUACAGAGUGUUCUUAAUGAUUCCAUUGUGGAUUCAUAUAUGUCGUUUGACAGUGGCAAAGACAUGUGGGUUGCGCUCGAGGCCACGUUUGGGCCCUCGGGCGCUGGCAACGAGUUGUACGUCAUGGAGCAAUUUUGUGACUACAAGAUGACUGAUGAGCACUCUGUUGUUCAGCAGACUCUUGAGAUACAGUCACUCCCUAAGGAACUUGAGUACUCUAAGUGUGUGUUGUCGACCAUCAUUGCCAAGCUUCCACCUUCGUGGAACGAUUUUGCUACUUCUCUGAAAAACAAGAGACAUGAGUUUUCUGUUUUGGAUCUCAUUAGCACUCUUGAUUUUGAGGAGAAGGCGAGAGCAAAAGACACACAUGCUCAGGUCACUGAGGGAGCUUCUAGUGCCCACCUGGUACACGAGAACAACUUCCAGCCCAACCAGCCCCAAAACAACAAGAACAAAUCUAAGGGGAAAGGCAAGUUUGAUGCAAAGAACAAGCUGUCAUAUUCUACCAACUUCAAGAAGAAUUCUCAUAAUAGGAAGGGAUACAAACCUCAAUUUUGGUAGCACCGCACAAAAUUUAUAUGGCUGCAUCUACCUGCUGCCAGCUAACCUCAUGGUGCUCCAGGUAUUCCUACAUUCAUAACUAGGUACAAUGACCACCGCAAGAUGAAAUUAGCUUAUUCGUACGUUGACUUGCUAAAUGCAGUGCGGAACGAUCCUAUCAUGUGUGGAGGAGCAAAUAAGCAGUGUAGUCGAAGGUGGAAAUCAACCAAGGACUUAUGAAAUUAUAUAUAAUCUUCCUCAGGCAGGUCAGUAUCCCCUUCAUCCAGAUGAUCGUGUUUUGUCAUGCCGAGCUAUUGAUAUAUGCUAUUGUUUUGCAACACUGUUUAAGUAUAGCUACUGUUUUCCUAUCUUUUCAGAUUCAGGACAAUGAAGAUGAUUUCAGGGGAACUGCAUAAUAUGGACUCAUGUUGGGUCAUCUCUAUUGCCUCAUGUGUUUGCUGCAAAUGUGUCAGCAUCAAUUGCAAGAUGAGGCAGCUAGCUAGCUGUGGAGUUGCCAACAUGCUCAAAGUGCUAGCAACAUUGAGAAGAAACAAGCAUGCCAAGGAAAUUAAUGCGUGCGCAGGGAGGCCCUUUGCUCAGAGAAGCAUCGAUCGAUUUUCUUUAUUUCCACACCUUCUCACAGCUUUGUAUUGGUUAUAGUAUGGUGUAUCAUUGAGAUGCAUAAACAUGCUGAACUUUUGUUCUUCUGAAUGUUAGUAUGCAUACCGUAUCUUCUGAAGCUUAGUUUAAUGUGAGUGUCUGCAUCCAGUACCGCAUCCUCUAAUUUGGUGGAUGCCAAGUUGAAAAAGGUUACCGAUGAGUAGCCAUAAGCUAGAGGCGUCUCUUUUUUUCUUUCAAAUGGGCAAUAAGCUGGAGAGUGUCUCGGGCGGCCUCUAGCACAAGGCCCUCUAGUACGAAAACGGGCAGCCGACUGGGCCGAUACAAAAGCCUAUCCGUCUUAAAGCCCAUUUGUUUUUGUUUUUUGCAAGGAGAAGCCCAUGUUUCUAGAAGAGGGGAGAUGCGGAGCAUCCUACGGUCAUCUCCAUGUACACCUUCAUAGCACAUCAAGCCCCAAGUGGACCUACCGGAGUUAAGGUGAACCCGCUCUUCUUCGAGAAUAUCAUGAAUAUCCAUUGGACUUGCUUGCUACCUCACCAAAGAGCUCUAUGUGUCCUUAGAUAUGAAGAUCGACGACCACAAGCUGGUGAGGAACACCCCAAAGGAGUAGGAGAAGGACCCCAAGGCCACAAGGAGGAAGAAGGAGUGCAACAAGACCAAAUCUGCACCUCCCAGGCGACCCCGUGCCCACGGGCCCCGAAGACCCCGUGCGCACGGGCUACUCAGGGAGCUGGCGCUGGAGCACCCCGUGCGCACGGGCCUGUACCGUGCCCAUGGGACCCCCGUGCGCACGGGCCCAACUUACCCCGUGCGCAUGGGCUCAUCAGGAUGGGCGGCUGUGAUCCCCAAUCCGAGCCCCUCUUCACUCACUUCGACCCCAAGACUAUAUAUUCCGUACCUAGACCAUUUGUUAGGGGAAGCAAAGUAGUUGAUACACAUUGGUGAGCUUUGCUCCAUGGAUUCACUCCUCUAGGAGAUCAAGACCUCCUCUUGGAGUGACCAAACAUCAAGACCUCCUUUUUGGGGAAGGAUCCCAAUCAUAGGAUCAUCAAGCCCUCAUCUCCUUCAUAGGAUUUGGGAUGAACUCUACCAUGUAUCUUAUUUCCCUUUGUUGUUCAUGUACCUUGUGGAUCUUAUGUGUUUGAUUGUCUAGUGGAUGUGUGAUUUGACUUGUUCUUGAGUGUUCUUCUUGUUUUUCCUCCUUUGUUCAUCUUGUUCUUGGGGAUUCCACCUCCAAUUCGUGAAAGAUCUUCUCUAUAGGGUUCCACCCUACAUCAUAUGGUAUCAAGAGCCAGGUUUCUCACGAAAUUGGAGCCCCCCUCUUAGUUUUCUAGCAUAAUUUUGCUUGUUCUUGCCCAAUUUCGAAAAUCCCCACAAAAAUCUACAUCAUAUGGUAUCAUGAGCCAUGGUUUCUCACGAAAUUGGAGCCCCACUCUUUGUUUUCUAGCUUGAUUUUGUUGUUCUUGUCCUAAAUCCGAAAAUCCCCACCAAAAAUAGCCCCAAUUUUUUUUUUGUGAUUUGUUGGUUUAGUGUGAUUUUGUUGGAUUUGAUCCAUGAAUUUGGUGUUUAGCGGCUUCUGAAUCAUCAUGCCAAGGUGGAUAUCAUUACAUCAACAUUACAUAAUAGAUGGGGAUACAUACAUAAGGCAUACAAUGCCACACGAAUACAUCAUCACAAUACAUAAGAGCAUCAUCCGACUACGGAUGAAACACAAACAGAAGCUCAAACGACAUCCACCCUGCUAGCCCAGGCUGCCGACCUGGAACCUAUCCCCUGAUUGAAGAAGAAGCAGAAGAAGAACUCAACGCAAGCAAGCAUCACUCUCGCGUCAUGAUCAUCGAUUAACUUGUACCUGCAACUGUUGUUGUAGUAAGCUGUGAGCCACGAGGACUCAGCAAUCCCAUUACCAUGGGUAUCAAGACUAGCAAAGCUUAAUGGGAAAGGAAGGGGUAAAGUGGUGAGGUUGCAGCAGCGACUAAGCAUAUAUGGUGGCUAACAUACGCAAAUAAGAGCGAGAAGAGAGCAAGCAGAACGGUCGUGAAGCUAGCAAUGAUCAAGAAGUGAUCCUGAACUCCUACUUACAUCAAACAUAACCCAAAACCGUGUUCACUUCCCGGACUCUGCCGAAAAGAGACCAUCACAGCUACACACACGGUUGAUGCGUUUUAAUUCGGAUCUGGUGUCAAGUUAUGUACAACCGGACAUUAACAAAUUCCCAUCUGCCUAUAACCGUAGACACGACUUUCGAAAGAUUAUACCCUGCAGGGGUGUCCCAACUUAGCCCAUGAUAAGCUCUCGCGAUCAACGAAGGAUAUACCUUCUCCCAGGAAGACCCGAUCAGACUCGGAAUCCUGGUUUACAAGACAUUUCAACAAUGGUAAAACAAGACCAGCAAGACCUCCCGAUGCGCCGACAAUCCCGAUAGGAGCUGCACAUAUCUCGUUCUUAGGGCAACACCAGAUAAGCUAAGCGUACAGGUACCGACGUAACCCAAGUUGCCAAGGGAUGGUCCCGCACGGUGCUCUAGUUUGGACCAACACUUAGACAAGCAUUGGCCCGGGGGGGCUGUAAUAAAGAUGACCCUUGGGUUAAUUACUCCCAAGGGAAAUAUAGGUGGUGGUGAGGCAAAUGGUAAAACCAAUGUUGGGCCUUGCUGGAGGAGUUUUAUUCAAAGCGAACUGUUAAGGGGGUCCCAUAAAUCACCCAACCGCGUAAGGAACGCAAAAUCCCGGAACAUAACACCGGUAUGACGAAAACUAGGGCGGCAAGAGUGGAACAAAACACCAGGCAUAAGGCCGAGUCUUCCACCCUUUACCAAGUAUAUAGAUGCAUUAAUUAAAUAAGAGAUAUUGUGAUAUCCCAACAUAAUCCUGUUCACCAUGGAGCAAUCUUCAACUUCACCUGCAACUAGCAACGCUAUAAGAGGGGUUGAGCAAGGCGGUAACAUAGACAAGCAAUGGUUUGCUAGGAAGGGUGUCAAAGGUUAGAGGUUCAUGGCAAUUUGGGAGGCAUGAUGAGCAAAAGAUAGGUAACGUAGCAAAGCAAUAGAACGGAGCAACUAGCAUAGCAAUGAUAGUAGUGAGAUCCGGGGUAGCGGUCAUCUUGCCUGAAAUCCCGCAAGGAAGAAGAACGAGUCCAUGAAGAAGACGAACGGAUGAGGCUGAACCAAGCGUAGACGAACGAGUCCUCACGAUCGCAACGAAACAGAAACUAUCGAGAAGAAGCACACAACAAGGUAAACACACCACACAUAGACAAGACAUGAUGCACAACCAAGCAUGAUGCAUGUCAAGACUACUCAUGGCAAGAGAUGAUGCAACCAAGAGCAGCACAUCAAAGCAAGUUUAAACGAGGCCGGGAACAACAUAUAACAAUUCCGGUAAGUCCUCAUAUGCAAGUUUCGAAAUUGGUCCAGAUCUGAAUAAACCUUAUGUUCAAGUUGUUAAACAGCAAGUUAAGAUGCGCCAAGAUGAUCUACACGAGAUUCUAGUCAAGUUACAUAUAAAGUUCAUUUAAUUCGGAGCUACGGCCUAGAAGAUAUGAGCAAAACAAGUUAAACAUGGCAUUGGUGCAAAAUGCACCCCAAACAUCAAGAAAACACCUCAAAACAUGGAUGCAACAUGAUAAUAUGAAGCUACAUGCAAAAUCAAGCAAGUUUCAUAUAGAGCACACUCAAAACGGAGCAACGGUUCAACACACACAUACUAUACAAGUUAUAGCAACAAUCUGUCCAAAACAGCAACUAGGCAUAUUGCAAGCACCAAAACAAUAUGCUACAGCACCACAAUAUGAAAACAAAAGGCAUGGGAAUGAUGUACAGGUAAAGCAUAACAAAACAUGAACACUGAGCUAACUCCAGAAAUCACUAGAACAUGCUCAAACACACAUGGCAAGAUUGCAAAUAAUAACAGUUCAGACUUUGCAGAAAAUAACAUCAGGUUGCAAUAUUUAGAGCUAUCAAACAAUAUGUUACAGGAACUUAUCAUGGCAAACAAAGGCAUGGCAUGAAUCUACUAAUUGCAUAGAUCAAAAGUCCCUUACUGACCAUGAGCCAAAAAGGGUCAGAAAAUAUGAUGGCACCCAUGUAAACAGAGCAAGAUAUAUUACAGAUUCAAACAUGGCAGGAACAAUGAUAAGUAGGCAUGUAGAUGAGCUUGUACCACUCACCACAGAGCAAUACAUGGCAUGGCAAGGCAACCAACAGUAAGAAGACAUGUUUGUGAAGCUAAGCAUGGCAAUAGCAAGUUCAUAGGGUACAUGAAUCACUAGCAACAAUCAUGGCAACAACUGAACUUAAUGUUAACAGGCUGACAACAACAUUAUUUAGCAACUUUGGAGCAAUAUUACAACAAUCUACAGCAAGCUAUAAAUGCAACCAGGGGCACGGGUGGAUAGAGCAUGACAUGUAUGACAAAAUACCCUUAAUGGACAUCUCCUGAUUAUGCAUAGAAUGAUUUGUAGAAGCAGGUUUACAUAGCAUCACGAAAUAACAGAUUCAGCCUAGCAAAACAGUACAGCAAGUACACUACUUAACAAGCUCGAUUCACUCACCACAAGUCAUUGCAUGACAAGAUAAGCAUAGCAUCAGCAAGAAGGCAUGUUUAUGAAACAAACCAAGGCAAGAACAAGUUCAUAGCAUGCAAGGAUCAACUACAACAACCUUGGCAAAAUUGAAUAACAUGUAAACAAUCUGCCAGGAAACAUUUUGUAGCAAAAGUAGAGCACGAAACUGAUAUGCUAGACUACCCCAUAAUUGCAAACAGAGGCAUAAAUGGAUAGAGAACAACCAUAUAUUCAAAACACCCUUAGUGAAGUAUCUCAAAAUAUGCAUGGAUCUCUCUGUAGCAUCAAGUUUACAUGGCAUCAAAAUAACAGCAGAACAGGGACUAAAAUCAGCAACAUUACGAAGCCUAGUUUUCAUGCUUGUGCUAGUCACCACAUUGAUCACAAAAAUAUAUGGUAAGCACCUCUGUAAAGAAGACAUGACAUAGAUCAAAACACAUGUAGACAUCAACCUCAUAGGAUGCACACAUCAAUCAUGGCAAAAAUGACAAAAGAGCAAGUUCUGUUAACAGACAGCAGACAACAUCCUGAAGCACUUUUGCAAUGAUGAUUCAGGCAUCAAGAUGAGCUCAAAUGAACAUGAUGCAAUGGAAUGAAAUGAAGUACUCGUUGAGGCAAACAAUUUGACAUAUUACACGCGUGAAACUGAGCUACGGGUGCAGAGAUACAAUGCGAUGAACAUGGCAUGAUUAUGUCAGGGAUUCGAGGACUUAGUGAAAUCGAGGUCAACCUGCGGAUCUGCACGGUUUGCGAGGUACGCCGGAGUUGCCGGAGAACACGCCGGAGUUGCCGGGGACGAUGCUGGGGAGGCGGAUCCGGGGCUAUACCAAGGCCACUUGGCAAGCCUCGGGUCAUUCCGAGAAAGUUUAACACCCGCUCACAACAGGAGACAAAAAGGGGAACGCCGGAGGGCAUAGAAGUGUCGGAUCGCAAAACGGACAACGGGGAAAAUGCUCGGAUGCAUGAGAUGAACACGCAUGCAAAAUGAAAUGCACAUGAUGACAUGAUAAAAUGCAGCACGCAAGCAAAUGACAUGGCAAUGACGGCAAAUAACUGGCAGACACCUGGCGCAUCGAAUCCGGGGCGUUACGACACUCCUCCACUAACAAGAGAUCUCGUCCCGAGAUCUUAGGACCGAGACGGAAGAGAAAAAGGAAGAGGGAAACAAGAACUCAAGAGAAGAAGCAAAGAAUCGAGAGCACUUGAGAAGAAGAGAGGAACGACGAGAAUGACGAGAAUCGAAAGCUCACGGAAUCAGAUAGAUUAUGAAAGCACUCCGGUUAGAAUGAGAUAAGAAACGAAUAAGACUAAAAGGAUUUAGGCAAACUCCGAUUGAACAUGGAAAGAAUAGAACACGAGCUUGAGAGGAUGGAAUGAUACUUGAUGAAGGCAUGACACAAAACCUCCGGAAAGAAUUGAAAGAGUUGAAUGAAAAGAACGGAGAAGAAAAUGACAACUUGUGCCAUGAAUGAAAUAGAAAGCAACCUUAGAAGAAAAGAUUGAAUGGAGUUGUUGAGAAAAUUCAACAACGAAAAGAAUAAGCUUGUCGUGGACUUAUGGAUAAUAUCUCAGAAAUUAUGAGGUGAUAACCAGCCACAAACGGAAAUGAUUGGAUAACUUAGAAGAACGAAGAAAUGCAAAACUCCACUUCAAAAGAAUACAGAGGAUUAAUUGCACUUCGAGACGCAAGAAGAAAAGAUACUUGAACUCCACCCACAAAAUCUUGAUGAACUCUUGAAGAAAAGAUUAAAUCAUGAAGAACCACCAUGAACAACUCUGGUAACAAAAGGAUGAUGAGAUAGAAGAAGGAAAAUAAUAAGAUGAGCAUUGCGAUGAUUUAGAUAGAGGUUCCGACGUAAUGGCUGAGGAAAAUUUGAACUCCGGAAAAGAAAAGGUGAACAACUUGGAAUCGAGAAAUUAUUCAACAUGAACAAUCUCCGAAGAAAGGGGUUAUUUACUUGAACGCAAUAAGAAUAAGAUUUAUUGUAUGCUUAUCCUUCAUCAAAUUAAAUUGAUGACAAGCAAUGGAUUUUGCAUACUACUUAUUCUUCUUGAAAAGGAUUGAGAAGUGACAAAUCACAAACUUGAGAAGCUCUUCAUGAACCACCGUCAGGAUUGAAAGAACGAAUGGAUUGAUACGAUAACAAAGGAAAAGAAUCUGAAUGAACCGCCGUAAGAAUUAGAAAAUGAUUGAUGAAAGAGAAUGAAUCACCGGGAAGAAUUAGAAGAACCAAUAUGCUCGAGGGGAUUUAGAUGCAAAAGGACAAGGAGAUCAUGAGCUGACUAAAAAACACUUGAACGGAGCACCGGGAUAAUUGGAUAACGGUAGCUGAAACAUGAGGACGAAGAAUUCUUCUAGAACGAUGGCCUCCGGUGAAAAGAAACAUAAAUCAACUCCGGACAAACUCCGGAUGGUUAAGAAAAGAAUAUCUGACAAAUGGAAUAAUUCGAGAGAAUAACAUGAAGCUAGAACCACGAAACUUCGAGAGAACGGACAAGGUUUAGAGGAAAACUCUUCUUCGGUCUUCAAAGCUGAGAAAGAUGACGAGAAACACCACCGAAAUUACUGAGAUACUCCGGGAGAAUGGAAAGCAAAGAGGUUGAGCCAACAAUGAAAAGAAUUUGAAAAUGAUCUUGGAGAAGGCAUGUGACUGAUGGAAUCCAUUCUUACGUCAACUCUGAAAAGGAUUUGAAAUAAUUCCGGGGGAAUUAGAAGAGUCAGGUAAGAUCCUGGGAGAAGACCUGUGGAUUAGGGCCCACUAACGAGAAAACACCGUUGAAAAGGAUUGUUGAAAAGAUAGAUGAUGCACCCGAACAAUUGAAAUAUUUGAAUGAGGUGACAACCUCGAAUAAAUUCGAACACAGACGAAUCUCCUGAGAUGACUUGAAUACUCCGGAAGGAUAAACUGGCGAGAGGAGAACGAGCAAGGAAAAACACUUGAGCCGAGGAAAAGAAUAUAAUCACUACUGAAAAACUUGAAUUGAAUCCACCGGAAAAAGAAAGGGAUGAAGAAUGACGAACGAGACGAGAAUUCACCAGUUGAAACAAUUGACGAAAGAUUGAAGGGGCUCCACACGAAUGAAAAUUAAUGGUCGAGAGAGAGUCAAACUCCGGGAAGAAAAGGGUGGGAGGGCGGAAAAACAAAAUCAUCUUGGAAGGGGAAAUCGACGAAUAUCUUGAAGAGAAAACACCGGUUGAAAUCAUUGAGGAGAGAGAGCAAAAACUUCGCACGAGUAGGAUGGAUACUCGAUUAUGGACUCCGGUUCCGAGAAGAAGAAGGNNNNNNNNNNNNNNNNNNNNNNNNNNNNNNNNNNNNNNNNNNNNNNNNNNNNNNNNNNNNNNNNNNNNNNNNNNNNNNNNNNNNNNNNNNNNNNNNNNNNNNNNNNNNNNNNNNNNNNNNNNNNNNNNNNNNNNNNNNNNNNNNNNNNNNNNNNNNNNNNNNNNNNNNNNNNNNNNNNNNNNNNNNNNNNNNNNNNNNNNNNNNNNNNNNNNNNNNNNNNNNNNNNNNNNNNNNNNNNNNNNNNNNNNNNNNNNNNNNNNNNNNNNNNNNNNNNNNNNNNNNNNNNNNNNNNNNNNNNNNNNNNNNNNNNAAUGGCCGAGAGAGAGUCAAACUCCGGGAAGAAAAGGGUGGGAGGGCGGAAAAACAAAAUCAUCUUGGAAGGGGAAAUCGACGAAUAUCUUGAAGAGAAAACACCGGUUGAAAUCAUUGAGGAGAGAGAGCAAAAACUUCGCACGAGUAGGAUGGAUACUCGAUUAUGGACUCCGGUUCCGAGAAGAAGAAGGGUGGGCGGGUGGGAAAGAAAACAACUGAAGAUUGAACUCAAAGAUGAAGAGGCUCAAGUCAACUUGACGAGAAAUGCACCGGAUAAAAAGAGCUGAAGAACAACGAUCGGAAAACCAAUUGCGUGAUCCUAAAGAAAAUUUGAAGGGGAAGAGAAGUAAUUCCAAACACCUACGUCAAGAUUCCUCACCAGAGCGACGAAGGGGCUGAGGAGUUAAAAGAAUUCCUACUCUCCGAUAUAACUAGACUCCGAAAAUAGUUUUUCUUCUAGACUCAACAACGGCCAAACUACAUGAUCAAUCCAGGGGGGCUCCUAAGGUCGGUCGAGGCUCUGAUACCAACUUGUCAUGCCCAAUAUGCGACCCUAUCCAAAAAGAACUCGAAGGUCCCACCAAGGAUAGACCCGCAUAUUGAAACGCUUUUGCAAGGUGGAUAUCAUUACAUCAACAUUACAUAAUAGAUGGAGAUACAUACAUAAGGCAUACAAUGCCACACGAAUACAUCAUCACAAUACAUAAGAGCAUCAUCCGACUACGGCACAAAUAGAAGCUCAAACGACAUCCACCCUGCUAGCCCAGGCUGCCGACCUGGAACCUAUCCCCUGAUCAAAGAAGAAGCAGAAGAAGAACCCAACGCAAGCAAGAAUCGCUCUCGCGUCAUGAUCAUUGAUUAACCUGUACCUGCAACUGUUGUUGUAGUCAUCUAUGAGCCAUGAGGACUCAACAAUCCCAUUACCAUGGGUAUCAAGACUAGCAAAGCUUAAUGGGAAAGGAAGGGGUAAAGUGGUGAGGUUGCAGCAGCGACUAAGCAUAUAUGGUGGCUAACAUACGCAAAUAAGAGCGAGAAGAGAGCAAGCAGAACGGUCGUGAAGCUAGCAAUGAUCAAGAAGUGAUCCUGAACUCCUACUUAUGUCAAACAUAACCCAAAACCGUGUUCACUUCCCGGACUCCGCCGAAAAAAGACCAUCACGGCUACACACACGGUUGAUGCGUUUUAAUUCGGAUCUGGUGUCAAGUUAUCUACAACCGGACAUUAACAAAUUCCCAUCUGUCUAUAACCGUAGGCAUGGCUUUUGAAAGAUUAUACCCUGUAGGGGUGUCCCAACUUAGCCCAUGAUAAGCUCUCGCAAUCAACGAAGGAUAUACCUUCUCCCAGGAAGACCCGAUCAGACUCGGAAUCCCGUUUUACAAGACAUUUCGACAAUGGUAAAACAAGACAAACAAGACCUCCCAAUGCACCGACGAUCCCAAUAGGAGCUGCACAUAUCUCGUUCUCAGGGCAACACUGGAUAAGCUAAGCGUACAGGUACCGACGUAACCCAAGUUGCCAAGGGAUGGUCCCGCACGGUGCUCUAGUUUGGACCAACACUUAGACAAGCAUUGGCCCGGGGGGGCUGUAAUAAAGAUGACCCUUGGGUUAGUUACUCCCAAGGGAAAUAUAGGUGGUGGUGAGGCAAAUGGUAAAACCAAUGUUGGGCCUUGCUGGAGGAGUUUUAUUCAAAGCGAACUGUUAAGGGGGUCCCAUAAAUCACCCAACCGCGUAAGGAACGCAAAAUCCCGGAACAUAACACCGGUAUGACGAAAACUAGGGCGGCAAGAGUGGAACAAAACACCAGGCAUAAGGCCGAGUCUUCCACCCUUUACCAAGUAUAUAGAUGCAUUAAUUAAAUAAGAGAUAUUGUGAUAUCCCAACAUAAUCCUGUUCACCAUGGAGCAAUCUUCAACUUCACCUGCAACUAGCAAUGCUAUAAGAGGGGCUGAGCAAGGCGGUAACAUAGCCAAGCAAUGGUUUGCUAGGAAGGGUGUCAAAGGUUAGAGGUUCAUGGCAAUUUGGGAGGCAUGAUGAGCAAAAGAUAGGUAACGCAACAAAGUAAUAGAACGGAGCAACUAGCAUAGCAAUGAUAGUAGUGAGAUCCAGGGUAGCGGUCAUCUUGCCUGAAAUCCCGCAAGGAAGAAGAACAGGUCUAUGAAGAAGACGAACGGAUGAAGCCGAACCAAGCGUAGACGAACGAGUCCUCACGAUCGCAACAAAACAGGAACUAUCGAGAAGAAGCACACAACAAGGUAAACACAUCACACAUAGACAAGACAUGAUGCACAACCAAGCAUGAUGCAUGUCAAGACUACUCAUGGCAAGAGAUGAUGCAAACAAGAGCAGCACAUCAAAGCAAGUUUAAAUGAGGCCGGGAACAACAUAUAACAAUUCCGGUAAGUCCUCAUAUGCAAGUUACGAAAUUGGUCCAGAUCUGAAUAAACCUUAUGUUCAAGUUGUUAAACAGCAAGUUAAUAUGCACGAAGAUGAUCUACACGAGAUUCUAGUCAAGUUACAUAUAAAGUUCAUUUAAUUCGGAGCUACGGCCUAGAUGAUAUGAGCAAAACAAGUUAAACAUGGCAUUGGUGCAAAAUGCACCCCAAACAUCAAGCAAACACCUCAAAACAUGGAUGCAACAUGAUAAUAUGAAGCUACAUGCAAAAUCAAGCAAGUUUCAUAUAGAGCACACUCAAAAUGGAGCAACGGUUCAACACACACAUACUAUACAAGUUAUAGCAACAAUCUGUCCAAAACAGCAACUAGGCAUAUUGCAAGCACCAAAACAAUAUGCUACGGCACCACAAUAUGAAAACAAAAGGCAUGGGCAUGAUGUACAGGUAAAGCAUAACAAAACAUGAACACUGAGCUAACUCCAGAAAUCACUAGAACAUGCUCAAACACACAUGGCAAGAUUGCAAAUAAUAACAGUUCAGACUUUGCAGAAAAUAACAUCAGGUUGCAAUAUUUAGAGCUAUCAAACAAUAUGUUACAGGAACUUAUCAUGGCAAACAAAGGCAUGGCAUGAAUCUACUAAUUGCAUAGAUCAAAAGUCCCUUACUGACCAUGAGCCAAAAAGGGUCAGAAAAUAUGAUGGCACCCAUGUAAACAUAGCAAGUUAUAUUACAGAUUCAAACAUGGCAGGAACAAUGAUAAGUAGGCAUGUAGAUGAGCUUGUACCACUCACCACAGAGCAAUACAUGGCAUGGCAAGGCAACCAACAGUAAGAAGACAUGUUUGUGAAGCUAAGCAUGGCAAUAGCAAGUUCAUAGGGUACAUGAAUCACUAGCAACAAUCAUGGCAACAACUGAACUUAAUGUUAAUAGGCUGACAGCAACAUUAUUUAGCAACUUUGGAGCAAUAUUACAACAAUCUACAGCAAGCUAUAAAUGCAACCAGGGGCAUGGGUGGAUAGAGCAUGACAUGUAUAACAAAACACGCUUAAUGGACAUCUCCUGAUUAUGCAUAGAAUGAUUUGUAGAAGCAGGUUUACAUAGCAUCACGAAAUAACAGAUUUAGCCUAGCAAAACAGUAAAGCAAGUAAACUACUUAACAAGCUCGAUUCACUCACCACAAGUCAUUGCAUGACAAGAUAAGCAUAGCAUCAGCAAGAAGGCAUGUUUAUGAAACAAACCAAGGCAAGAACAAGUUCAUAGCAUGCAAGGAUCAACUACAACAACCUUGGCAAAAUUGAAUAACAUGUAAACAAUCUGCCAGGAAAAAUUUUGUAGCAAAAGUAGAGCACGAAAAUGAUAUGCUAGACUACCCCAUAAUUGCAAACAGAGGCAUGAAUGGAUAGAGAACAACCAUAUGUUCAAAACACCCUUAGUGAAGUAUCUCAAAAUAUGCAUGGAUCUCUCUGUAGCAUCAAGUUUACAUGGCAUAAAAAUAACAGCAGAACAGGGACUAAAAUCAGCAACAUUACGAAGCCUAGUUUGCAUACUUGUGCUAGUCACCACAUUGAUCACAAAAAUACAUGGUAAGCACCUCUGUAAAGAAGACAUGGCAUAGAUCAAAACACAUGUAGACAUCAACCUCAUAGGAUGCACACAUCAAUCAUGGCAAAAAUGACAAAAGAGCAAGUUAUGUUAACAGACAGCAGACAACAUCAUGAAGCACUCUUGCAACGAUGAUUCAGGCAUCAAGAUGAGCUCAAAUGAACAUGAUGCAAUGGAAUGAAAUGAAGUACUCAUUGAGGCAAACAAUUUGACAUAUUACACGCACGAAACUGAGCUACGGGUGCAGAGAUACAGUGCGAUGAACAUGGCAUGAUUAUGUCAGGGAUUCGGGGACGGUGAAAUCGAGGUCAACCUGCGGAUCUGCACGGUUUGCGAGGUACGCCGGAGUUGCCGGAGAACACGCCGGAGUUGCCGGGGACGAUGCUGGGGAGGCGGAUCCGGGGCUAUACCAAGGCCACUUGGCAAGCCUCGGGUCAUUCCGAGAAAGUUUAACACCCGCUCACAACAGGAGACAAAAAGGGGAACGUCGGAGGGCAUGGAAGUGCCGGAUCGCAAAACGGACAACGGGGAAAAUGCUUGAAUGCAUGAGACGAACACGUAUGCAAAAUUAAAUGCACAUGAUGACAUGAUAAAAUGCAACAUGCAAGCAAAUGAUAUGACAACGACGGCAAAUAAAUGGCAGACACCUGGCGCAUCGAAUCCGGGGCGUUACAGAGCCCCCCUGAAAAUCGACUGACCCAAAAGUCGAUUCAGUCAACUGAAGUGUAGCUAAAUCGGAGCAGAGCAGCAGCACGAGCGAGGGGGAGAGCAGCAGCAACAGCGCGAGCGAGCGAGCGAGAGCCGGAGCCGCAGUAGCUGGGCAAGCAAGCGAUCGAGGAGAGCCGGAGGAGCAGCAGUAGAUCCUGGCUCGUAUGGCUGCCAUCGCCGAAGGGGUCUUGCAUUGGGGGAGAGCCGCCGUGGAGAUGUCGCCCGCAGCGCGAGCUUCAAGGUAGCCACUCCGUGGGGGUGCGGGAUGGAGCACUGUCAGCGUCAGGAGGUCGAGUUAAGGAGAAGGUGCGGUGCGAUGAGUGUACAACCUCUUUGGUGGCACCGAGUAGGCCUCGGCUUCGUCUGACGAGUCGGUGAGGAUGUUGCGGUUCCGGUGGAGUAGGUUAAGGCGGUGCUAUGGGGAUGGAGCAGCCGCGAUAGACGAGGCGAUCAUCGGAGCAGCUCCUUGGAGGUGGAGGACGGGGCGGCUGAACUGGCGGGACGACGAGAUGGACGACGGAUCCUCAUACGGGUAGGUGGACGAGGGACAUCGAGCUGUUGUGGUGGACGACGUCGUCGGGGAAGAGGCUCCGGCUGGGCAGUGGUGAGGUGGCGGACGGAGAAGGGUGGGGUUUUGCGGCUGGAGCAGAGAGAUUAUAGUGGCCUGGGAUUUCGAAUGGCGAAAAGGAGGCGAUAGGAGGGGGUGAAUCAUGACUUAGGGACGCGCUUGUCCAAAAUGUAGGGUGUGUUACAAAAGUACCCCCCACCGAUUUGAACUAGUGGCCCUUUCGGCUCAGGGUUAGAAGGGGGAUUUCGUGUGUCAGGAUUUGGCAGCUGGAGGGAGUUUUCGCGUGCGUUGUAAUUUCGGGAUAGUAAGGCGCGGGUUGUGAAGGCGCCAGUUUUGGGAGCAUGAUAUCUGAAUUUUCGGGAUAUAACAAGGUGCGGGUUGAAUUUUAUGGACAUGCCUAACAUGUAAUAUUGUACUCGUGCGUACCAAAUCAAUUCGCACUUCCCUCAACCAAAAAGAAAAUGAAAAAAAUAAAACUAUUCACACCACACAAAGAGAGAGUCUUGCUCCGUUUUACUAUACAAAUGCUAUUCAAAGCUAUUCCCUCCUUCCAUCUAAAUACGGCCUAAUACGUUUUUCGAUGCUAACUUUGACCAAAUAUUAGAGCAAUAAUAUAUGACAUGCAACUUACACAAAAGCACACCGUUAAAUUCAUGUGUGAAAGGAGCUUUCAAUGAUAUAAUUUUCACAUUUUGCAUGUCAUGUACUAUUAAUCUUGUCAAUAGUCAAAGGCGGUCUUAAAAAACGCAUUAUGCCCUAUAUAGAUGGAAGGAGGGAGUAUGAAUCCAUGUUAUGUCCAAUUAAACUUUUUCGCUAGCUGUAUAAUGCAUGUAACCUACUCAUACCAACAUUUUAGUGCAUUCGAAAUGUCUAUACUUCCGCUACAAUUCAAAUUGAAUUUGAAUUUGUUUAUGUAUUUCAAUAAGAAUCUACAAUCAUGAUUGUUGCCAACUUCGACAAUCAUUCGUGUAUUACCUUAAUAACACACCACAUGAUUACUAUAGAGAUAGAUAUGAACUAUGUGUACUACAUGAACUCGAAUUCUAUUUUUUGAAUACACUGGAUGUUGAUUCCAAAUAAUAGUACAUUUGACGUACUAACUAUAUAUUCAUAAUCUAAACCAUGUUCCAUACGUACACCGUGUUUAUCACACAAAGUAUAGUGCCCCGCCCUCUACAUUAUGACAAGUAUUUAGACCUGAGCUGCAAAAGCCACACAUUAGCCCAAAUUAUUAUCAAUGUUUUACAUUAUGAUAUCUUCUUCAAGUAUCCGUAUCCACUUUUUUAUAAUGAAGUAUGAUCUUUGUUCAUGUUUUACACCUUCACGAUCCUCUUCAAUUUGUAGCUAGCUAGCACUAACUUUCUAUCGUGCAUGCACACGCCCGCCCCCCUCUUACCCACCCUUAGUGUCCCCUCCAUCGCGCACGUUCGUUAUUUCUCUUUAGGUCGUCCACCUGCGAUGUGUGUAGGCCCCUGACUCCUUCUUUCCGGCACACACCGGUUGGUAUACCUCUCUAGCCAAGUGUGCCUACAACAAACACAUAUAUGCUUCCCCUCUUCUCUUCUCACCGUCCAUGCCCCCCUAUGUCCAAUACGGUUCCACGGAGGUGCACACUCCCGAACCUCUUUUCAUUGAUAGACAGACAUGUGCAUAGACAGACAAACAUCCCCCGCCCUCUCUUAUUGAUAUUACACUCGUACCCUCCAUUUGUCUAGCAGGCCUCUCCCAUCAUUUGUGAGACGCCACUCCAAACCCUCCAAUGCUCUACCUUUGUCUUUCUCCCAACCUUAUUCCUCUGCUACACAUAUCCAUGGAUGCCGAUCGAUAUCCCUCAAUACAUAGCUAUCUCUCUCUCCUUCCCCACACAUAUACUAGUCGAUCGGUCAAUGCCUCCUCCCCCCCACACACCGAUAGUCGAACGUUCUAGGUAGGUAUCCAUGCCACGGAGAAAAACUGCACCUCUGCCCUCUCAAAUUCCAGUAGGCCAACUGCCCUGUAUCUUUGACGUGGGCAAACACAAAUUCGAUGGCACUCUUUAUCGAUCGCGCAGCCACACACUUCAUCCCUGUUUUCAGUUCUAUCGAUAUCUCACGUCCAUGACUACGUUUCACACACAUUGCAUAAGUUACGUUUUUCUGUUUGAGAUAUCAUCAAUACAUUGCCUCUGUUUCACACAAACCAUCUCUCUCACACCCACCCACAUACGCAUCUACACCUAAAGAAGAGGUGCACGCAGGACGCACGUACUCACGUCUCGUUCCCGACCACACCCGCGCGGGUACACGGUGGAGUUCGUUUCUGUACGAAAAGGCAGCCCAUUUGAUAAUUUGACGCAUGUAGCGGUUGUUUACUCGAAGGAGGGUCGGGUACCACGCCUAGACGGAAUAAAGUUUGAGUUGAUGCAUUAGUAUUAAAUAAAGUUAUAUAUUUCUCAAUGGCACGCACUACAAAAAAAGACACAUCCAUGAUAUUUUGGGCCGAACAAUUUUUUUUCGUCAUACUUAUGACACUUCUAUGAUGAUAAUUGUGACAAAACCCGGUAUCAUCAUAGAUGUGGUGGGAUCCUACUUCUAUGACAAAAAAUCAUGACAGAAAAUGGGCUUUUCAUCCUGGGCAGGCCAGAGACGCAGCUGCAUGACAUUCUUUGGGCCGUCCAUGAUGGAAAAAACCAUGGUAGAAGCGAGGGCGAGGAAAAUUUCGGGGGGUUCCCAGUUAUGGUGGGUGGUCGGGGACUGAGUGAUGUGUGUUUCUCUCGUACACAUACGUGCGAGUGUGCGAGGCGUUGGCUCUAACUGAACCCGAGCGAGGCAUUGGCCUCUAACUGAACCCGAGCGAUUGCACUGCAUGCUAUGCGUUACUGAACCCGAGCGAUCGAUCGAUGGCUGUUAACUGAACCCGAUCGAGUGAUUCCUUCGCUACUGCUGCUAACUGAAGCCGAUCGAUGCUCUCUCUGGGAUGAACAGUGAGCAUUGCGGGGUGGGUGGGGGUGGAUGAACAGUGAGCAGUGGCGUUGCCUCUGGAUGAACAGGACCUCGAUCGAUCGAGCCGGUUGGGGCUGGAUGAACAGGACCCCGUGGUGUGAAGGGCUGGAUGAACAGUAGAUGAUGGAGGGGUGCCCGUGGAGGGGUGGUUGAACAGUAGCCGGUGCAGUAGUGUGCGGUGGAGACUGGAUGAACAUGAGCCCGUGGAGGUUGGAGGAGGUCGACGGUAGCCCAUGGAGGCUGGAGGAGGUCGACGGUGGAGAUGAACAGUAUCCCGUGGAGUCCCAUUUUGUGGUACGCCACACCCCUCCCAAUGAACAGGACCACCGUUUCGAAUGUAGCGCUCCAACACGAGUCCGUUUCGUCCAUUUUGUGGUACGCCACACCCCUUCCGAUCAACAGGACCCCCGUUUCGACCGUAGGAGUUCCGUUUCCUCUGUUUUGCGGUACGCCAGACCCCUCCCGGUGAAUAGGAUCCCGUUUCGAACAUGGCCGGUCGAACACAAGGCCGUUUCAUCCGUUCUGCGGUACGCCAGGCCUCGUUUCCAUCGCCUGUUCCGUCCAAGCCCUCCCGAUGAACACGACGACGCAUUCCGUUUCAACCCAGCUGGUUGGCUCCCCAUGAACAUGACGACUAUGUUGUUUCUUUGUUCCGACCCAACCAUGUACACGAGCCCUGGCCGUACAUAUGCGUGAAUAGGCGUUUGAGACUCCGCCCAUAUGUACACAUACGUGGCCAUAUUUUCUUUCUUGCACACUGGUCGAUGUACGUACGUGUACAUGCUACGUGUGUGCCUCUACUACGACACGUGCGCGCCUCUACAUCCACCAGUAUGUACGUACACGUUCGCGACCAGAAUGACAAUGCUACGUACGCUUCGACCAGGUGGGUCCCGACUGUCAGGCACUUCCUUGCGUGCGAAGAUGUAGCUGGUGGGUCCCAGCAGUCACGGGGGCGAAUCGUUUUUUUUUUGCCUGGACGCACUUCCUUGUGUGCGAAGGUGUAGCUGGUGGGUCCCAACAGUUACGGGGGCGAAUCAUUUGUUUUCGGAUGCACUUCCUUGUGUGCGAAGAUGUAGCUGGUGGGUCCCAGCAGUCAGGGGGGCAAAUUGUUUUUCCCAGACGCACUUCCUUGUGUGCGAAGAUGUAGCUGGUGGGUCCCAGCAGUUAGGGGGCGAAUCAUUUUUUUCGCAAAAUACGGUGGCCCGUCUGGUGGGUCCCCGCUGUCAGGUGGAGGAAUAAUUAUUUUGCGCGUAAUAAGGAGGCACUUCCUUGUGGCUAUUGGGGACCCAGCUGUUAGCCUCUCCACGUACAAUACUCUUCCGAUGGAAGUCGGUCAUUGACCACAUUGACCACGCCGCGCCGAGAGCACCACGGCGGUGGACGACGGCGAGGCCUAGGAAGGGGACGACAUGGAGCCGGGGAAAACGCGGCAGUGGAUGCCCACGCGUAGAGGAGUAUGAGGGUUCACUCGUUCGGCUGUGGUGUGAGGCUACCGUCGCAGCAGAAUAACAGGGGGUGUGGGUGAGUGGAGGGAUGGCCUGGCCAGCGGCAGGAGUAGUAGGGGGCGGUGAGGUCUCCACGGCAUCACAGCCAGCCAUGAGAGGUAGGAGCAGGCGGCACGACCGGCGCUGCUUUGGGCGGCUGUAGCAAGAGACCAGUGGUUGAAGAAGCACGAUGGUCGUUGGAUGGACAUCGUACGGUCACUGUAGCUAGAAUCAUUCAUAUUGACAAAGUUGACAAAGCCCUCCGUCCCCGUCAACUUAGUGGGCCCACAAGUCAGCCUCCCACCAAGGUGGGUCCCAGCUAGCAGGGGGAGUAUUCAUUUUUUCUGCUUAAUAAGGAGGCACUUCCGGUGGGUCCGAACUGACAGCGGGGGGAAUGUUUUUUUUGUGAAAAACGGUGGCCCGUCAGGUGGGUCCCAGUAGUCAGGGGGAAACGUUUUUUUUCGCAAAAUAUGGUGGCCCGUCCAGUGGGUCCCUGUUGUCAGGUGAUGGAAUCAUUAUUUUCCGCGUAAUAAGGAGGCACUUCCUUGCUGCGGCCGUGUACCCAGCUGUCAGCCUCUCCACAUACAAUAUACUUCCGAUGGAAGUCGUUCCUUGACCACGUUGACCACGCCGUGUUCCGUUGCAUGCAUUGCAUCCAUGGGCGUGGUGCAUCCCCACUGUCAGCCUCUCACGUACAGUCAUCUUUCGAUGACUCUCGGUUGUUGACCAUGUUGACCACACCAUGUCGAGCACACCAAGGCCGGUGGACAACGGUGAGGCCCCCGACUGGAACAACCCGGAGAUGGGGAAGACGGGGCAGUGGAGUCGUAGAUGGAGAGGAGUGGGAAAUUUGACUGGUACAGGUGCGCAGCAGCACAGCCGCGGUGUCGCCCACGGGAGACAGGAGCAAGAACAGAGGUUGAAGAAGGAGCACGGCUGUUGGAUUAACAUCCAACGGUCCGGCUGCUAGAAUCAUUUGUUGAUUAAGUUGACAAAGUCAUGCGUACACGUCUGCUUAGUAGGCCCACAAGUCAGCCACCAAAUCUGACAGGUCCCAGCUAUCAACGGGAUGGAUAAUUGUUUUCACAAAACAAGGAGGCACUUCCUUCCGUGCGAAGAUACCGCCGGUGGGUUCUAGCUGUCAGGUGGAGGAAACAUUUUUUUCAGCUUAAUAAGGAGGAACUUUCCUUGCGUGCGACCAUGGACCUCGUGGGUCCCAGCCGUCAGGCUCUCCAAGUACAGUCCUCUUCUGAUGACUCUCGUUUGUUGACCAUGCCGCACCGAACGCAGCGACGCGGUGGACGACGGCGAGGCCCCGGACGGGACCGACUCAGAGAUGGGAAGACACAGCAGUGGAGUCACAGAUUGAGAGGAGGAGAAGGGUUAUAAGUGGUUCUGUUGCGGCGUGGGGCUGCAGUCUGUGGAGAAUAAGAGGAGGUGUCGAGGGGUGGAGGGAUAGCCUGGUCGGCGGUGGGGUAGCGCUUUGCUGUGAUGCGUGCUAAGCAGAGCCGCUAGCCGCAGGAGGCUAGACCAGGCGGUCCCGGCGAUGCUGGGGGAAGAAGACGAGAGAUUGAAGGUGCAUGCCGGCCGUUGGAUAUAAAUCCAAUGGUUGUGGAUGUCACAAUCAUUUGUUGACCAAGUUGACAACGUCAUGUGUAGGCUUCGACCUAUUGGCCCACAUGUGAGCCUACAAAAAUGUGGCAUAUAUUUAACCAAUGUUUUCUAGAAUGUAGAGUCCAUUUGCUGGGCUGGGUGAACAAAUAAUUUCGCGUCAAUCAAGCCCAUUUAUAUUUUCUAAGAAAUCCCAGCCCAUUUGCACUUCCUUGAAAUACACAAAUUAGCUGGGCUUGUUAUAUAUAUAAUGUUAUGUUAGAAGGAGCAAUUAAUAUCAAAGAAUAAACCGGAGAGGCACAUUUUUUAUAUAUAUAAUUAACAAAUUAGCGAGUUAUUGCUCAAAAUAAAAAUGAGCGCAUUAUUAUUCAAUUGGUCCUUAAAAUCUUCGCAAGCUUUUGUACACAAUCACUAGGAUUUUCCUUGCCUGUGAGACAAAAACAACCAGGAUUUUCCUUGCCAACUUCCGUUAAACAUUUACUCUUAUAAUUUAAUAACACGUGGGAUGUUUUUAUAAUGUAUAUAUAAGUCUCUAUAAAAUAUACGAUAAUAGUAAUAAUAUAAAUAUAUAUAAUGUGGUUAGAAGGGAAAACAUAAAUUGGGCACAGGAUUAUAAAUAGAUAAAUAGAACAGAGACCUGCGUUUUAUUAAAAAAUACAUUGGGCUGCCGAUCUUUAAGAAAAAGCCCAUAGGCUGGUAUGGACCACAAAAAAUAAGUUGAAACCACUGUCUCCGUAUGUCGUGGGCUACAGAUGUUAAAAUACAAAACCUAGGCCUAGCUGAUACUUGUUAGCCCUCUGGAAAAAAUGAUACCAGAUCCCCGAGCGAACUGGAUUAAAGAGGGGGCCGGCGGCACGACUGAAGAAGCACAUCAGGAGCGAUUUUUUUCUUCAGUGGAUGGCUCUCGAUAGUGUUUUUUUACUUGCCUCUGCACCAUACAACUUGUAUUUUUAGCCUCCCAGUCCGUUGUGGUGGACCAGCAGCCCAUUUGCUGGGCGGGCCAACCUACAGAAACUAGCACUCGAUUUUUCAUCAAGCCCCAAAAAUAACGCAGUACUAUGUUUGUUUUGAGGCCGAAAACAUUAUGGCAGGGGUUGAGCGGGGGAGAGGGGAAGGCAGAGUAAUAAAAAGAUUAAAAAGAGCUGAUGCGUCGUUGCUACCCAAACAAAGCAGGUGCAAUUCUUCUCGGGAAGAAGGUGUGCCGUUGACACCCACACGUCACAUACCCCACAGUAGGCAUACUAACAAGUUCACACACAAAUACAACAGAAAAGGUAAACAUUCGUAUCAAACUCAGGUUCACAGGACACGUUCAUAUUCAUAGCCAACAUUCACUAUCAACAACUUAAAAGAUUCAUAUAUACACAAGUUCAGCAUAUCUAUGCAUCCAAAUGAUUGAUAGACCACACGACAAUAUUCAUACAUAAUUCACAAAAAGAUUCAGAUAUACACAUGUUCAGUAUGUUUAUGCGUCCAAAUGAUUGAGAUCACAGCCAAUAUGAUCCAUGGACGAACUUUAGUUACCUAGGGUAUAGACUGGUAAAUGGUGUUCAGUCGGAGGUACUUCUUGCUAAAAUUAGUUCUUGUACGAGUAAACUUUUGAGUACAUAAGAGGCAGCACAAACAAUCUGAACUUUCCUUGUAGGUUUAUCCUCAAAUAGUGGCCUCGUGCCGAGCGAGGUUUGAACAACUUGGCCACUAUUUUCAUCCAACUAGUUUACUGGCUCAUCGUGGUCAUGUAGCUCACCAAAAUUCUACAUUGCAGAUGAGAAAGGAGGCGGUUGAGAAAAAGAACCACCCAAAUUUUUUGUGCAGUUCAACUGAAAUGGAGCAUCCCUGGCGUGCAGACUGAUUAAGUGCCAGAUGAAUAUACGCGUCAACCAACUUGUCUGGAAUCUUUAGACUCCAUGCCAUACAGUUCGCUACCAUAUCUACCGAUAACCAAAAGGCACAAGUUGGGAUCAAAGACUGGACUAUGUUCUUCUAAGCUAUGCGCCAAGCAAUAUUUUUGGCGUUCACUCUGCUAAUACUUGGGAGUUUGACAACUGGUUGACACCGAUUGAUACUCGAAUGAAUAUAGGCACGUCUUGUCAACAUCGAUGCUUGUCUGAGUGAACUUUGGAGUACAUGGCAGCAACGUAAGUAUCUGCCAUCUGAUCAUUUUGUGCAGUUCUACUGAAAUCACCCAAUGCAAUGAUUUGCCUGCGAGUUCAAGCUCCAAGUUACUCCUUUAUAAAAUCGGCAAACAGUAGCACAAUACCAAAUUACCAAUACAUGACAAGCACAAUAAUCAGGAUAAAGACCAGUACCAACCUGUGUGAGGUAGCAUAUCAAUUAUUAUUUCCUUUGACUGGAAGCCGAGAUAAGCGAAGCGACUGACAGCGAAGGAAGAAAGCAAGCCGAGAUUAGCGACUGACAGGAAAGGAUGGAAGUUGUCGAGGCAAUGAAGCACCCAAAGUUUUUGUGCAGUUCUACCAAAAUCGAGCAUCCCUAUUGGCACAUAUAUUGAGAGACUGAGAUUACUGUAAUAGUGGGACUAGUUGAUGAAACAUACAAUAACAAAUAGAAGCACCCUCAUUAUCUUAAUUGGUAUAGUUAGCAACAUAGUAGUCUUGCUUAAAGAGAGGUAUUAGUUUAUUUAAUCAGUGCCAAUUAGCUCAACACUCAAAGCAUUGCCAUUUAUAAUAGGUUGAAAAACUUUAACGUGCAAAGAUAAAGGAGUUUCUCAUGAUAGUAGCACAAUACAAAUAGAGAUGAAAACAAACUAAUAUGGAUGAAGGCCUUAGGCCCGUACCAACCUGAGAAAAAAAUCUUAUUCAUGUAGUCCCAUAAGAGAUGACAAAGCACAUACUGGAAUCACAAAAUAGUAUAUAUUUUUGUGCACUUCAAAUGUAUGGUUGAAAUCACUCUUGUUUAUCAGUGCUGAGAUUAUAUCGAAAGAUUAUCAAGAACUUCCAGCAAAGUUAAAGCACUGGCUGGGAUACAGUUCAUUUUGUUGUCCUGUGUAGUUCCACUAAAAUGUAUGAUUGGCACAACAUGAUCCCUGUUUGCACAAGUAGGAACAUGGUCAAACCUUCAUUAGCUUAGUGAGAAAGGAUAGGAAGACAUUAGCAUAUUACUCAAACAGUAGCAUCGAAUUUAUGAUGGACAAUAUGCAAAACAUUGCCUCAUUGAACCAAUGGUAAUAAAUUGACAUGCAAAACAAUAGCACUAUUAUGUCAUGACACUAAUAAUAUUCCCUCCCUGCUCCACCACAUGAUUCACCUCCAUAGACAAACAUACACACGUACAUGAUUUAGCAUAGGGUCCUACUAAAGAUUUGUUUAACUCCGAUAGAAAAAUUAGGCAGCAAUAAAUUAGUGGUACUUAAGUACUCCUAAUUAAUUAAGUGAGACAAUAGAAGUGGAAGGGCUCCCUGGAGGAUCGUCUCACAUGUAAGGUAGUCGUUGUCGGAGCCCUUGAAUGGCCUCGACUGAGGCCUUUGGCUUCAGCAAGAUCGGCUUGGCACUGUUUAUUCUUCUUCCUCCUCCUCUUCAUGCUCUGUUUCUCUUUCUCCUCACCAGUUGGUGAAACCAAGUACAUGAUUGGCCUUCUAAUUCAAAAUUGGUUUUGUCAGUGAGGGAGUACUAGUAAAAAAUAGCAUUAUUUUCUCAUGGCAGUCGGAAAAUAGAGAUGAACACAUGCAUUAAAUAUCAUUCUUACCUAAAGGAAGGUUAUGGCGCCAAUAUGGAUGAUGAGGAUUGGAACACAGAUCUCCCUUUGUGCAGUUCCACCGAAAUGAACCAACUAUUCCAUUCUGACAUUCCAGUUAAACAGCACAAAAGUCACUUCUUUUAAGAAGAGUUUUGUGCAGUGCACCAAAAGGUCACAACAGCACCCAGGUGAAUUGGAUAUCCCUGUUUGCACAAAAAGGUACAGAGGAAAUAGUCAGAGUCUCAAACAAUUACAGGCAAAAACAUUUGGCUAAACUUGUCAUUGCUUAUAACAGUGGCAUGGCUUCAUUUUUACUAGGGACAUUUGAUUAAGAACAACUAAAUAUUUGGUAUAAGGGCAUGGGAAAGUGGGUGCACCAGCAGUCCAGCACCAUGUACAUAAACAAGGGCAUAAAGUGGUGAUUCAUAGUUUGUUGCCCCGAGAAACAAACAUCCAAGAAACAUAUCUGGGUUGGUCCCAUUUUUGUUCAUUCUAGCCACCUACUCCUAUGUGUGGAUAGCCAAUCUAGUCCUGGUCAUACCACUGUGUACAGCGUUACCCCUAUAUUUCCCUUUUCGACCAAGAGACCGGUUGGAUGACUAGUCUGUACUACUUUCACCCCCUUUCCUUCCUGUUUGUACCAAGUCCGAUGUACAUACUAAAUUCCGCCACCCCCACUUUAUUUAUUGUUUGAACCAAGUACUCCCUCCGUCCGGAAUUACUUGUCAUCAAAAUGGCUGUGUCUAGAACUAAAAUACAUCUAGAUACAUCCAUUUCAAUGACAAGUACUUUCGGACGGAGGGAGUACAAGAUUCGACUCCAUGAAGUAGCUUUACCUCUAACACUAGAAAAAAAAUAGGUGACGUUGGACCAUCCGACCGAGAGGGGCUGAGAGGUAGCAAAUGAUGCACAUGCAGCGACAUAGCGAGUUGGGGAAGUAGAGCUAAGGCGGUUUUGAAUGAAGAUAUACCUGAAGGUCGUCGGGAUGUGGAUAGGUGGGCGGCGGGAGGCCGGAUCCGCCCACAGGCAACGACGAAGGGAUACGAGGACCCCCCACACUGGCACUCGGCCAGAGAUAAUGGUGCGGCCGGCAGUGGGUCUCCUCCCUCGCUGUCGACGAUGGCCUAAAUGUUGCCCCUCCUCCCCUUCACUGGCGGAGGGGGAUACGUCCGGAUCUGUAACCAGCGGUGAGGAUAGAAAGACAGUGUUUUUUGAAGGGAUAAAGACAGUGUUACUACCCCUAUCUUGUUUAGAUCCGGAGAGGAUGAGAGUGUGUGAAUAGAGCAACCCUAGCAAGCAAGCGCGGAGGCUCCGGCCUAUAUAUACAUAGUGGGGUAGUUUUCAUUUUUCACUCCAUAAAAACAAUCGUUUAAAAUUGUGUACUACUACAUGCCAGGUCGCGGUUUUUUAUUUGUUGAUUGUUUUUUGAGAUAGCUACCCGCUUGUUCCAAGUGGUGUUACGGUGUGCCAGGUCGCACUUUGUAUCGUUCAAGUCUGGUACUACAAGUCCCUCCAUUAAAUGAACAACCACCCCCUCGUAAAAAUUGUGAACAAGCCCGCGGCUAAAAUUAGCGGAAACGUGGGUUGCCCCAACAUGCAUUAUUAUUUAUAUUUUCUACUCCCUCCAUUCCUAAAUAUAAGUCUUUUUUAUUAGCCACACCUAAGACAAUAAUUUUUUUAUUAGUAGUAAACCCCACAUGUCAUAGACACAAAAAUUGUGGCAAGAUUCCCUUAGGCAAGCCAAAGUGUGUCUAACAAUUUGAGCAACUCAAGUUAGGCAAGUGUGGCAAGUGUGGGAAAAAUAAUGUGGCAACAUAAGACAAACAUAGUCACAAUCCAAACAGCCCCGUAAUUUUUUGUGACAUGCAUGAAAAUUUGGUUAGUUAAAUUUAUAGUCAAAAUUUGGCAAGGUGCAUCAAAUCAACACAUGCAAGUAUCAAAAGGAAAGUCACGGCAUGCAUGCAUGCGUUGUACUCCCUCCGUUUCCAAAUAUAAAUCUUUUUAGAGAUUGCAACAAGUGACUACAUACGAAGCAAAAUAUGUCUACAUACAUCCGUAUGUUGUAGUCCAUUUGAAUUGUGUAAAAAGACUUAUAUCGAGUGCAGUGCUUUGAAGUGUCGCGUCAACUCGUACAAGACCGAGAAAUUUGAUUAUUACAACGCCCUCUCCCUCGCGGACUGAGCUCCGGUGCCUUAACUGCACCUGCCUUUGGCUGCAUGACAGGAGGGCCAACCACCUGUUGGGCCCACCUGUCAUAGACACAAAGACAGGAGCAGUAAGUAGAAGCUUUCGCUAUACGCUCUCCCUCCCGCACGAGGUGGACGGACAUGCAACAGUGGAUUCGAUACUGUAGAAGUAGGAGUAACAUCAUUGUUCGUCUUCUCGAAGAGGCAAAGAGCCAAGCGCAACCCGAACGUGGUAGUUGCGAACGCUCGUGUGGUGCGGUGCCUUGGAGCUCGCAUAUAUGAGUAGUAGCCAGGCUCUUGCAUGAGGCAAAAUUGCUAUUUGAGCCCACUAUUGUAGUACUAGUACUUGCUACUCCCUCCGUCUAGGUGAGUAAGUCGUUGAAUUUGUAGCUAAGCUUCCUUCAUUGAAUUGUUUAACAAUUAAACUCCAUCAUCCAUUGGUUGAUACUCAUUCUGCAUAGGUCCACGCGCUUAGCACUGUUUCCUCCUGGGGUCACCAAUGUUUAUUUUCUAAUUAAUAGCAUUGCAUGCAAUGAACUAUCCACUGGAAGUCAUUAAAAGCAUGCACACCUCUCAAAUCUUAUUGGUUGAUAUGUCAAGAAACAAGAAACAAGGUAGAAGUUAAUGCACCGCGCCUAAGUGUUUUGGGACUAUUUCGUUUUUGUAAAAUGACUUACACACCUAGAUGGAGGGAGUAGUAUAGCCCUGUAAACUGGAAAGGAGUAUUUGCCUUUCUAGAGAUUUCAACAAGUGACUAGACUACACCGCGUGCAGUACUCCCUCCCUUCCGGUUUAUAGGGCUCAAAUCUCAAAUCUCAUGAACCACGACAUUUUGCGAUUGGAGGAAUGUAUCUCGUACUUUACAAAACUACCCUAAUUAAACUCAUGCAUUAAUUACGUAGUUCUCUCGUUUUCCUCUCCGCCUUGGUCGUGGUGCACAAUAUUGAGCACUCCUAUAUGACUAGCCGCUCUAUCUACAUGCAAUACAUUUCAAAGCAUCCGGGCCUGCGUGCCAUCCACCAAAUGACAGCGAGGUGCUACAGUUGAGACUCACCUGUCACCCCGGUGUGGCCAUCAUGACCCGUCAUAUCACAAAACCCACACCUUUACCAGUAGUGGUAAGGUGGCCUCCAAGUUGUACUAGACGAAGCAACGAUCAUUUCACUGGAAUGCUCGUUGAAGCCCUUUCUUCCCUUUCUUGAAGAAAACCUCGCUCCAGGCUACUCACUUCUGCCAUUUUUCUUCUGUACCGACAAAGGAAAGGUGGGCAAAUCAGUUAUGCUGCUAUAUUUUCAUUCCAAGAAUCUUCUUUUUGCGAAGCACCGACCAAUUCUCACAUCCUGUUCUUUUCCCGUUUUCAUUGCGAUUGUGGUUUCCUUUCGAUUGCUUUUUGUUUGCCAGUUCAUUGAUGGAUCCUGGAGCACUAGGCAAAGAGUUGCCGGUGGGCAAUCCCCUGGAGAUAGCAAUCUCCAGGAAGCGAGCACUGACCAACGAGUUGACCAUGUUGGAGGGCCAACCCAUGGAGACGAAGAACUCCAAGAAACAAGCAUUGGCCAAAGAGUUGACGACGUUGGCGGACGAACUCCUCAAAGAAAGUUGGAAGAACAGCAAGGGCCCCACCGUGCCUACCCCAGGAACUCUGAUGGCCACCUAUGCGAGGCUCACGGCCGAGUUUGAGGAGAUAGUCGCCGUUGAGAAGCAGUAUUCCCCUGGCAAGGUGAUGGCCCCCAUCGAGGACGAGGAGAUGGCCCCCGGAGGGAUGAGAUCCCCCGGUGAGCUGCACAAGGUAAAAAAUAAUGGCUUAUUACCAUAGUUGUGGUUUUUGAUUAUUUGCAAUGUGCUUGCUAAUAUGUUAGGGUUGUGCAGGUGCCGGUGGACGUCCUUGAUGAUUCCGAUGUCGCGGCCCGUCCUGUUGGGAUCGCCCCGGAGAUCGAUUCCGAUGCCACUGUCCAUCCAAUGGACAUCGCCCCAGAGAUCGAUUCUGAUGUCACGGUCAGUCCCGUGGACAUCGCCCCAGAGAUCGAUUCCCAUGCCACUGUUCGUGCUGUGGUCAUUGCCCGAGAGAUCGAUGACAAGAAUUAGUUGGUCGCGCUAAUCCUUCAGGGUAGUUUGCAUUGCCCUGUGUUUAAUUACCAGAAUGAUGCGUGUUAUCAAACCAUCUUAGGGCUAGUGCACUGUCUUGUGUGGGCGGUACUUGCUACUUUUGUUUGAUAGUGAAUCAUGCGAACCCUCUCCGAGUUAUGGAAACAGAUGUAUCCUCACUAAAUUUUGAUGUAAUAUAUGGCAUGCUUAGAUGUAAGUUUGAACUAUUUAUCAUAUCAGCAAGGCUUGUUUGAUGAUUCUUGGUGUUGGUAGGCUAGCUACUGUGCGAGCUAUAGUACUUGCAAAACACUCACCGAAGAGAAACGUUGGGGCUGAUGAGAUCGUGGUAUGCUUAUACUUAUUCGUUGUCGAUUGACCAAUAGCCCUAGCUCCUAAAAUUGUAGGCUUAGCGAUCGAUCAGACAAUAGUCGACACGAAUACAUUCAGGCCUCAUUUGGUUUAUAGGGUAGGAAAAUCGUAGCAAAAGUACAGAGACGUACAACACAAAAUCAUAGUGCAGAGUCGUACUCCCUCUGUUCCAAAAUAGAUGACCUAGGCGGGCUAGUUUGGCCUAGUGGGUUUCAGUGAUAUGACGUGGUACAGUGCCUUAUAGUCUUCGCGUGUGGUAGCAGUAUUGCGGGUAUAGUAAGUUUUCUUGAAGAAGCGGAAUUCAACGAAAUCAUGAUGGUUCCUUCAUCCGAACAACUUAAAGUGGGAAAGGUUGGGCCUGCGAUAAGACUGGGGUAGACCAGGAUAAUUUUGUGCAUGGCAGGUGGACCAGGAUGGUCGACGUCCCAUAUGUCGGCGAAUGAAAGUAUUAUUUCCGAUAUAGAGGAAGAGCAAUGAGUAUUCAUUGUUUAUUUUUGAUGAAAACUAUUGUCUCCACUGUUACGACGGAGGAGUGUGAAACACGGCAGCCCAGUGAACUUGGCAUGUGCACCACUCCCUCCUUCCUCAUGUAAGUCUACCAUACUGUUGACUAUAAGGUUGGCUAUAAGGUUACAACUUUUUCUCACUUUCUCUCUAUCUAUUUCCUCUCAAAUGUUUUUUACCUUUGUUUUUUAGACACAAUUGUUUUUUAUGCCUUUUUUAGAAUUAUUUUUUAUACCUAGGAGCACGUGUAGAGACGGGCUCUUGCAGAGCCCACUCCUUGACUUUGUUAAUGCCUCUCUCUCCUCCACAUAAGCUGGCUUAGGCCUUGUACAAUGGGAGAUGCUUAGAAAAAUAAACCAGGCUUCUCUUAAGCACCGGUGCCUAUUUCUACAGGAUAGACGCUUAGUUAAGCGUCUAUCUUGUACAAGUAAGCACCAGUGCUUAACAAAAGCCUGGUUUAUUUCUCUAAGCAUCUUCCCUAAGCGUCUCCCAUUGUACAAGGCCUUAUAGCCUAGUUUUUUAGUACUUGCUAUGCAUGCAUGCGGCGGGCAGCUGGCAUCUUGAGGGGCCAGGGCGGUCAGAGCGGGCUCCGGAAGCGGUCCGGCCUCCAGCAUGGCCCACCUCACAUUAUCACCAUAUAUUUCUUGGAGUUCGUGUGCGGCGGGCGGGCGAUCUCUUCUCCCUCCCCUGUUUCUCUCUUCUCAGCCGACGCCCGCCGAGCGAUUAGAUUUUGGCUAUCGACAGUUUAUUCAAUAAUAGUCCCACAUGUCAGUGAAAUUGCAAGACAAAGCGUGUCCCCUCUGGUGAGCAGCGUGCGAGCCGGACUGUCGGGGGUGCGACACGUACGAGUCGUAAGUGUGUCACCUUUUCCUUUAGAACUUGCGAGGCAUAACAUUUUCGCGCGAUCGAUCGAUAGAAAUCCAGAACAAAAUGACGAGGGCAGUGCUUUCCCGCUCAUUAGGCAGGCUAAUUCCAGUGAUAUGACGUGCUACAGUGCCGUCCACUUGCUCCAUUUUUAUGUAAGCAAGAAUUUACACUCUUACGCGGGAGGAGUGCAAAACACCACAGAUCUGAUUUUGAUCGAGGGAUAAUUGUUCCCUGAUAAAUAAUGGAGGACUGUUAGCGAUUAUAGCAUGAUAGUUAGGGCAUCUCCAGCGCUGGCCCACAAAUUUACACCGACAUCUGUCCGAGGACACUGAUGGAUGACAUCUGAUGCUGCCCGCAUACCUUUCGACAACUAUAUGAACUAACCGGACGAAAUUCGUGCAAACAAAGCAAAUUUCAAAUUAACCGGAUGAAAUUCAUUACAUUUUGAAAACUUUUCCUACAAAAUGGAUGAAAUUCAUUACAUAUUUCGCACAAACUGUACUAAAACCUACUGUAAACCUAAUCUAAACGAUCACCGGUGCCCGACCACCAUGUCUGGCCAUGAACCCGAGAAAGCCGGCCAUUGCCUUUGCCUCCCCCUUUAUCCGCCUCGAUAACCUCCUCUCCGGAGCACAAGGUUCUGAAGAUUUCCGCCUCCAUGUCGCCAUCAAGUGCCUAAUCGGUCACCAAUGUUUACCCCACGAAGCUUGGCCUUGAUUGAAUGUAGUAGUUGUGGCCUUCCUGGGACCAGAGCGGCGGCGACCUACCAUGUACUAAUCUUCCUCGCCGCCGGCUGCACCCGUGCAUGUGCGCCGGCUUCGUUGUCGUGGCGGCGGAGUGUGGCUGGGGGGGUGUCGGCGAUCUCCUUCGUUUGCUCCUGCGACAGUACGUCGAAGAGAGCUUUGGAGCGCGCCCGGAGCAGAGCCACCGAUGUCCCUCAUCUGCUCCUGCGAUAGUACGUCCAAGAGAGCUUCGGAGCGCCAGGAGGCCAUGGUUGGAGUGGUGCCGACGGAAGGAAGGGACCGGAAGAGAAUACGUGUGGGUCUUUGGCUAUGGCUGGGAGCUGGGGCUCAACUUAUUAUAGCGAGCGAAUGGCAAUGAGCUGCGGCAGACAGAUGGACAACUGGCGCCGGAGUAGGUUCGUAGGGCGUGAAUGCGGACACUGCUUCAGUGAAUUAACUGCAGAUGCAUUGGGUUACUGACAUGUGGGCCCAACGGGCAUCUGGCCCGCAUGUUAGUGACACACCAAUUGCAACUGCAGUUAAGCCCGAUGAAUGCGGCAUUGACGUUCUGGAGAGACGGUGACAGUUUCAGGUGGGAAGCACGCGCUAGCGAUGGAAGGGGUUUCAGUGUGCAGUGGCACUAACAUCGGUCGCUCACGAUAGUACAUACUCCGUACCAUACUACCAUAGUACCCUCUCUAGCUAGGCUGUUUUAUAGAUUGUCGUUGUGAUGGACGAUAUACAUGAGCAAGGCGCACCGAGUAUGACCGUUGGUGUUGAGCCAGGUGAAUACAUGCUCGGCGUUCGCGUAGGCCUCCAUCAAACGUCUAAACGGUAAUGUCAGGCACCGCCGGGGCGCGCAGGUGAUGGGCUCGCCAUUUGCGUUGCGCCAUGAGCAGGACUUUGAUUUAGAGGGCGACGUGCAUGCAUUAGCAUGUUUGACAGCAUGUGGUGAGUGUCUGACGUGAAGUAUUUCAUUUUCAUUUGGCUGACGAGGGUGCGUUGCAGCAACGAGUCCGUGGUUUGAUUCCCCACAUACGCAUAAUUUUGGUUUUUAUAGUAUUUCUUUCUCCAUUGACAGGUAGGCCCACGUAGAUAGAUAAAGAACACGAGGAGAUGAGGUGCAUGCGGACUGUUUGACUGGUCAACCAGACAAAUACGGAGCUAUACGCUGAGCCAGUGACCGUAUAAUCACCAUAUCUCGUAUACAAUGAUCAAAGUGAGCUAUCAAGACAAGUUCGAUAACCACCAAUGCAUUUUACUCGGUAAUAAAUGACCAGGAUUGAAGGGAAAUCCAAAUUUCCUUCGUCUUCUGUCCUUGAGCUCUUGACAAACCAAUGCACUAUACGAUUGUCCGGCCACUCCACCCCAGAGCUCUCACCAAGCGUCGUUCAUGCCACCGCACCGCACACUAAUCGGUAAGGCAGCGAUGGCAUCCCGCCACGCCGAGUUCCUCACCGCCCACGACCGCACACAAAAUGAUAGGGAAGCGAUGGCAUCCCGCCGUGCCGAGUUCAUCGCCGCUCGCGACCUCACAACUAUGUGGGAGGAAUUUGAAUAUGCCAAGGCCGAAUGGGUGGUAGAACAAGAGGCGGCCAAAGCCGCACAGAGGGAGCAGAAAAGUCAGAAAGCACUCAAGAAAAGAGAGGCCCGCCGUCGCAAGAAAGAAAAGGUCACACGCGCUGCUGCAGAGAGGUCGGCGAAGAUCCAAGCAUGGUGGGGUGUCACCGAGAAAGCCGGGAAGGAGAACGACGACGUCUGGCCAGCAUGUGAGAAGUAGUAGUACUAGUAGUUAGUGUGUGUGUCUGUGUCUGAGUACGAGCAUGUACCAGUACUACUAGUUACUGCUGUAGUUUUUAGAGCAAAUUACAAGUACAUUAGCCUAGACUAAAUGGAAAAAAUUCCUAACCUAUGCAUCAAAUGGCAUCUCUUUCUCUAUAGGAAUUGAGAUGCAUGUCAUCUCACUUCCUAUGAUUUUCUUAUUCCUAUAAAAUUCCUAUCCUAUGAACAAAAGGAGGCCUCUGUUGGAGUAACUAUUGUAGCUAGCAGUACUGCUGGUACAGUAGUUUUCUUCAAGAAGCGGAAUUCAAUGAAGUCAUGAUGGUUCCUUCAUCCGAGCAACUUCAAAGUGGGAAGUGGGCAUGUGAUUUUACGGCUCAUUAGUCAUUGUUACUGUGGCGCGACGACCGGGGUGACUCUCCCUUGGAGUUUUGCGUGCAUGGCAAGUGGACCAGGAUGGUCGACGUCCCACAUGUUGGCAAACGGAAGUAUUCUUUCCGAUAUCGAGGAGCAAGGAAACCACGUGGUAUAGUAUCACUGCUGAUUGGUUCUUAAAAAAAUAGUAUCACUGCUGAUUUAUAAUUAUUUUUUAUUUCUGAUGAAUGCUAGCAUUUCAACUCUUAUGACAAAGAGUGUCAAACAUGGCACGUGCUGGAUGUCCCACACGUCAGCGAAAGGAGUGGGACAUGAACAUCGUGGUAGAGCCCAGCGUAAAAAAACAGCAUGGUAGAGCUUCUCCACUUCUUCCAGUUCUGGGUCGGAGACCACACGUAGUAGUACUUAGUGGUAUGAACGAUACAAAGUGCGACCUGGAGAGAAAGACACGUCUAGUUGGAAGGUCUCGGGGCAUACACGUAAACAAAUAUAAAAGUUAAUAUGUACCUCCAACUAAUAUAGUAGCAGUAGAGUACUUAGGCACGUACUCCAUAACAUCACCGUGCAUUGCACGUACAACAUUUAGUGGCAGUACGUAGUAAGAGACAAAUGCCGCCCAAGAGUUCCCUUCUCGACCUACUUUUGGGUGUUUGGUAGAGUGUAUGGAGGGUGCAUGAGUCCACACUUGUUUAGCACAAAUACACUAGAAGCAUGCAUGAAGAGGGAAAAACUAUGCUGAGAUGAGACCGCAACCAAACACACCCUAUAUGCCACGCAUGUUCAUACCAUCUGUGCCUUUCUACUUCACUUACUGCGCUACAUAACUCAGGUUCGUACGUCCACUCCUAGGUACAUGUCCGUCUCGUAGUUUCAUUCCCACGUGUUCUUCAUAUAGAUGGAACGAUCCUUGCAUAACAUGUGCACCUUGAUGCUAGAUGUCUCGCGUGUUAGCAAAAGGAUAAACAAAGCUCACAUAAAAAAAUAGAGUGGAAGAACAUAGAUUCCCGACGACCGAGAAGGAGCAAGGAACCUCGUGGUGGCGCGCUGCACUCAUAAUAUUUAAUAUUAUUCAGCGAUAUAAAAUAAACCAAUCAUCUCCACAGUGGACUGGAAGAGUACGAAACACGGCAGCCCAGUGUAGUUACAUCAUACUAGUACAUGGCUAACCCACGCUAUCACCAUAUUUCUUGGCUUUCGUGCGAUACCUAUGUCUAGUAAUCCAGUAGCCUGUAUCGCUUCUCCCUCCUCGUCUCUAUCAAAGUGCGGUGGGCUGGCGUUUUUGCCGUCUAUUGAGGUCGGUUAAUUCAUCACAUAUUAGCGACAUGCCAAGAGCAUUCUAAAAAAAUUCCUUUCAUGUUCUGUUUUCAAAAAGAAAAAAUCCUUUCACGUACGAAUUUGACUGUAUGCUUUGAGCAACUUGCAUGUCCUAUAUUGCUCCUGUUUGAUACUCUAACUUAGCUAGGGGUUAGACUAACUCAUGACUAACCCUGAACUAACUGUAGCCAAAGAGGUUUUUGGGUGACAGGGUUAGAUUGACAAUAAAUGCACUUGAUAGAGAGAGAAAAUUGAUUUUUCAGUGGUCCCAAUGAGAACUAUCUCCAGUUAGCACCUCUUGGGUGGGAUAGUUUUUUUUGUGGGUUCGGUGCAACUUGCUCCAAUUUAAACCCUCAUGCUUGGAUACUUUAGGGCUAUUUGAGCUCCAACUAGCUCAAACUAACUCUAACCCAUGGAUCCAAACAGGGCAUAUGGCCAGUCUCGACGCGGAGUAGUCGCGUGCACCGGGAAGCGGCGCUCUCUCGGCCGUCGCGCCACUUCAAAGCCGACGCUAGUGAGAGGUCGCCUCCACUCUGGUCGGGCAUUAAUGCGGCACUGACGCACCAGGGCGACGCUGACCGUUUCAUGCGGGAAGCGCGCGCUGGCAAGGGAGUAUAUGUUUUGAACCGUUUCAGGUGUAGUACUGGUAGUUUGCAAAACUACUCAAUUAUUGCACUCAGUUUCCUAAGAAAUUGUGGUAAAAACGUUACUCCACAGCCCGCUUCCCUUCUCCUUCCUCUUCCACCGCCCGCGCACGUCCGUGGGAAGCGACCGGUCAACCCUUAUAUAGGAGUGCUAGCACAAAAAGAUGCAUGCAUGACCACUAAAAUUUCCAUAUUAAAGCGCCGCUCCGGCGGGAGUAUGGCGUAUGUUGUUACCUUCGACCGGGCAAUGGCUACCGAGCGACGACAACCAGAGAAGAGGCGGCGGGAGGGGAUUGAAUGCAGCUACUGUUUGGGUUCGCCUUCCGGCUCAAAUAAAUGCGCAGCAUCACGUGUACCCACGGGUGCACAAAUUGUAACAUACGUGUUUGCUUAAGUGGGCGUCACGUAACUGGUGUGUGUGUGAGAGAGAGAUUCUGAGAGACAGAGUGCGUGUAUGCGACUCUACUCUUCGGACAUGUACUCAACCUUUUGCAUCGCGAUAUAAGUAUAAUGGUAUUUACUUUAUCUAGUGAUUUACGUGGCCAUGUUAACGUGAUUGUGUCAAAAAAAUGUCACUUCCUGCUUGUGAUUUGUGUUAUAUAAUUACAAGCAAGAUUCUCGUGCAUUGCACAGAACAUCAAUAAGCAUUUUUUACAAAACACCUGUUGUGAUUGACCCAUGAAGGAGUAAUCCCAUGUGUAAAAACUAAUGAUAUCUCGAGAAUUUUAUCGGAAAACUGGUAUCUCGAGAAUGUCAUCGAAAAAAAUGAAAGAUGAGAUAUAAGGCGAGGAGGAGUGGAGCGUGGUUUUGACUGGUGGUCGGAAUGGGCGGAGGCAUGGGGAUGGACGGCGCGGGCAGGCGGCAGCAGCCACCAUGCUAGAUUGUUGCAGAGACUUCCUUUUUUAAUUGCUGAGCAAUGAGGUUGUGGGAGAUAAGGAUGUGGAGAGAGGUGCGGGUAUCUUUUGUAAAAUUAUCAUAGUUCGCUUUCUAUUCGUCAGAUUUAGAUCAUACGGUCUGUAUUACAAGAUGCCAGGCACACCAUCAUCUCCAACUCCUUUUUUAUAAAGGUAUAGAUGAUAAGUUUGCUGACUACUAAAGUAAAGUGGAAUUUGUCCAUGUUAUGCAAGUAAAUUAAGGUGAUUGUUUAUCAUACGGGUAAGGUUGGAUGAAGGCUGGUAGGAACAAAUGCUCUGCCUAGAGCAUGUGUGUGUGAGAUGGAGUCUUAGUGUGUGUGUGGGGUGUGUGUGUGAGAGAGAGAGAGAGAGAUGGAGUCUUAGUGUGUGUGUGUGUGUGUNNNNNNNNNNNNNNNNNNNNNNNNNNNNNNNNNNNNNNNNNNNNNNNNNNNNNNNNNNNNNNNNNNNNNNNNNNNNNNNNNNNNNNNNNNNNNNNNNNNNNNNNNNNNNNNNNNNNNNNNNNNNNNNNNNNNNNNNNNNNNNNNNNNNNNNNNNNNNNNNNNNNNNNNNNNNNNNNNNNNNNNNNNNNNNNNNNNNNNNNNNNNNNNNNNNNNNNNNNNNNNNNNNNNNNNNNNNNNNNNNNNNNNNNNNNNNNNNNNNNNNNNNNNNNNNNNNNNNNNNNNNNNNNNNNNNNNNNNNNNNNNNNNNNNNNNNNNNNNNNNNNNNNNNNNNNNNNNNNNNNNNNNNNNNNNNNNNNNNNNNNNNNNNNNNNNNNNNNNNNNNNNNNNNNNNNNNNNNNNNNNNNNNNNNNNNNNNNNNNNNNNNNNNNNNNNNNNNNNNNNNNNNNNNNNNNNNNNNNNNNNNNNNNNNNNNNNNNNNNNNNNNNNNNNNNNNNNNNNNNNNNNNNNNNNNNNNNNNNNNNNNNNNNNNNNNNNNNNNNNNNNNNNNNNNNNNNNNNNNNNNNNNNNNNNNNNNNNNNNNNNNNNNNNNNNNNNNNNNNNNNNNNNNNNNNNNNNNNNNNNNNNNNNNNNNNNNNNNNNNNNNNNNNNNNNNNNNNNNNNNNNNNNNNNNNNNNNNNNNNNNNNNNNNNNNNNNNNNNNNNNNNNNNNNNNNNNNNNNNNNNNNGCAUGGCUUCAUCAUAGAGAGGUGAUGUGUAUGGCACAGGCCACCAGCGAUGGGGUGCGAGAGAGAAAAUUCCCGUAGAGAGGGAAGAGAAGGUGUGUGCGCGUGAGAGGAGUCGACAUCGAGAGAACGUGUUUGUUCAAGAGACACCGAGGAAGACUACUAUAUAUCGAUGGUGCAUGUAGGCGGGAAUUAAACAAAGGGAUGGUCUUAUUGGUUUCGGGGAUAUAGUGGAAGAGUGAGAGGCGGGGGCGGGGGUAGCUAGAAGAAGAUUGUUAAGUGUGAGUGUGUGUUUUACCCAUCCAGGCGGAAGUUAUGUGCACACAAGAGGAGAACUAUUCGAUGUGGUGUUAGGAUUGAGGGUAAUUAACUACAUAUGGAGACAUAGAGACCUUGAACGUGCAUGUGUGAGAGGUAUACAUGUAUACGUGGGAUGUGUGUGUGUGUGCGCGCGCAUGAUCGAGAUAAAAGAAAGAAGACAUAAGUCAUAAGAUCAACGACAUGGGAGAUACGGAUCGCUAUGACAAUAUGCAUGCAUGCGAGAAUGCACGAAAGAAGGGCCGACAAUUGAGCAUGUGUUUUUGUCUUUAGGAGAUAGUGGCGUGGUCUGGAGCAUGCAUCUAUGGCGAGCAGAGGGAGUGAGGCACAAUGAUUGUGCAAAAGAGAUCAACCUAUAAAUGCAUAUGUAUGGAGAGACAUAUAUAGUGUGGGUGAUAGGAAGCAAGACUCCGUGCGAGAAAGAAAUGUUGAAACUACAGAUAGAUACAGAGAUGGAGAUGCUAGCUAGAGGGACAUCCACUAGUUUGGGUGUUGGAGAUGACCGCCGGGUGGUUCAGAGGGUGAAGUUUUAUAUGUGUGUGAGAGGUCACUUGACUGCAUGUAGAGAGAAACAUAUGUAGUGUGCGUGGUAGGAAUCAAGAGUGAGGGCGAGAAAGAAGGUUGAUGGAGAAACAGAUAAAUAGAAAGAUCAAGAUGCUAGCUAGUGUGCAUUAGAGAUAGGAGUCGAGUGGAUCAAAAGGCUGAGUUAUGUGUGUGGGUGUGAGAGAGAUAGAGAGAGGGUGCAUGUGAUUCACAUACAAACAGAUAUCAGAGAGAAAUGAGAUCCCGAGAGACGGAGUUUUGUGUCUUCGAGAGAAAAAGAUAUUUCACAAGGAGAGUGAUAGUUAGAGAGACAUAUGAGGGAACGCAAGAUAUCUCUAGGAAAAGAGUGUGUGUGAGCGACAUACAAGAGAACAAUGGAGAAAUAUGAGACCCGGAGAGACAGAGUUUGUGUUUGUGUGUGAGAAAGAGGUACUUAAGAGGAAGAGUCGUAGGUUCUCAUAUCUAAGGAGCGAAAGACAUCUCUGUAUGAGGGGUGUGCGAGUGGCACACAUGGGAAUAGUAGAGAGAAAUGAGACCCCGGGAGACAAAGUUUUGUGUUUGUGUGAGAGAAAGAGAUUCCACAUGGAGAAUCAUAGUUGGAGACACAUAGUAGAGAGUGAGAUAUACUUAGAGAGGAUAGAGUGAUGAAGGUCGAGGGAGAGAGUACCGUCAGUGUGCUACGAAGAUAAAAGAUCAUUGUCGACAUAUAAAUAGCACGAGAGAUACCUGAGAGACGAUGAACGCGUAUAGGUCCAGAGAGAUAGUCCUAUAUAAGCGUGAGUGCUAGCUAUAUCAGAUGAAUAUCUAGAUUAAAGGGGAUUCAAAUAUUUAAACUAGAGAUCACGACAUCGAUAAUAUCAUAACGCAAAUUGAUGUAUCAAACAUGCAUAUUCAUUUGAAUUUGGGCACACGUAUAAUGUUAUAUAGUUUAUCAAUAUUGGUGAUCCAUAGAUUCUUUAAUUACAAACAAUGCAUGAUUUAUAUACAAUUAAUGUCUAAACGGGAUUACACUAUAUGUUGUGUGUGUGAAACACAUUAUACAUGUUUGAGAAGUAAAAAAACCCGCAUGAAACACACAUUAAUUGAAGACAGUUAGCGAGGAAUGCAUACAUUGGAUUUCAACAUAAAGUGGUUUCAAAUAUUUGAAAAUCCAAAUUGAUGGAUACAACCUUAUGAAUCUGAGAUCAUGCCAUUUGUAAACCAUAUUUAUGUAUAAAUGGUGUUGUGCUUUUGAAAAUCAUGUAUAUAGAAUUUAAUUCCAAUUGAAAAUGGAUCCCACCCGAAAAAAUAGAAUACAAACGGGAUUCGAAUUGAGUUGGCAUGGUCAACGUGCACUCUACAAAAUUUAAACGAAGCAGGAAAAGUCGCAGUAACCGCCCAAAACCAAAAUCUGUGAGAUGGAAAUUACUACUGCCUAUCCCUGCCACGCAAGGCCUAUCUGUCGGAUUUCUAUAGGUUUCGAUAGGGGUAGGUUUGUAAUUUCACCCAAACGUGACGUAAUCGCUUCUCACCCGGAUUCAUACACGGUGGGCGCCAAAACACAGUGUGUCCUCGGCCGAAAUCGACUCCCUCCCCUAUUCGCCCCGCCGCCACCGUCUAUCCUCCUAGAUCUGCUUCCACGCCGCCGACAGCCAUCGCUACCGCAGCACCGUCAAAUUCUCAGCAGAUGCGUAUAUGGCGCCGCACCAGAGGCGGUACUCUUUCGUAUCUGCUCAACUUAUUUAUUGCAGCAAGAAAAUAGAUUGCCGCUGCUUUACUUUGAUUUCUUGUCUUGGUUGCGAAAUUGCCUUUGUCUGGUUUGCACCUUCAGAUCCGCCAUGGCACACUCAACACUAUACUCCCAAUACAUAUGGUUUUCCCUUUUUAUAUUCCACACUAGUUAAAUCAUAGUAGACUAAAUUUCAAAAUUGGGUCAGUCGAUUUUUUAGAGCUCGGCGGAGUUUGCCAGUGCGAACGAAGGGGCUCGGGUGGUUGUGGGGCCUCGCCGAACGAAGAAAACUCGACGCGGGUGGGGGUUGGGGCGGGGUGGGGGUGGGGGUGGCGGAGGAACACAAGCGGUGGGGGCCGGUGGUCCGGCCGGCGGUCCGUGCGGUGUUCUGUAUGGGAAGAAUCAGAGAUGAGGAGAAGAAGGGUUAGGAUAUGUAGGAUCUUCAUCCAACCGCCUGAAAUGAUCGAGAGAUAGCUGGGAGUUGCAUUCUUAAUGCGCUCUGGUUCAUCAUGUGUGGGCACUGGGCAACCAACAUUUUAUUAUCCAAAAUCUGCUUACUCUUCUUUACCAUGUUCCUUUUCCGUUCUUCUUUAAUAUGUACUCUCUCCGUUCCUAAAUACAAGUCUUUGUAUAGAUUCCACCAUGGAAUACAUAUCGAGCAAAAUGAGUGAAUCUACACUCUAAAAUGUAUCUGGAUACAUGUGUAUGUGAUUCAUAGUGGAAAUCUCUACCAAGACUUAUAUUUUGGAAUGGAGGGAGUAUGAUAGUAGUAUGCUACGUCUUGAGCUUGCGUUGGUUUUCCUUGAAGAGGAAAGGGUGAUGCAGCAAUAGUAGCGUAAGUAUUUGCCUCAGUUUUUGUCAAAUUUUGGGUUCCGGCAGACCCUUGAGGUUCGAACUCUCGGGUGCGCACGAAGAUCUUUCCCCUACCAACUCACGUCUCGAAGCCUCGCAAGGAAUCUAGGCUAGAAAUAAGAACACACAAGGGACACGAGAUUUAUAUUGAUUCAGGCCACCAUUAUGGUGUAAUACCCUACUCCAGUGUGUGGUGUGAUGGAUUGCCCUAGGGGCUGAUAAACAAUACAGAGGAAGAACAGCCUCGCGAGAGGUGUUCUUGAGCUGGUGCGAUGAACUGCUUGGGUGAGUUCAGUCGCCUCUUUCUCUCUAGUCUACCCAAAAUCUCUCCCCCUUACUUUGUGGUGGCUAGCUCUAUUUAUAGAGGGAGGCCCUGGGCCUCUUCCCAAAUAAUGAGCAGAAAGGGCGUCAACAAUUGGCCAUUUUGAAGGGGAACAUCUAGUACACUUAUCCUGACUAAAGUUGGUCUUCGACUGUCAAAGACUCUGACGGUGACGUCGUUCUGGGCUCCACGGUGACCUCCAUCCUGCCGUCCCACUGGUCUUGGUCUUGUUGCACCGAAAUAGUAACCUUUGCCUGAUGCCUUGGCCUGUGCUUCCCCCCUUUGCACCAAAGGGGAAACAAGGACACUGCGCAAGCCGGCGCCCGCCUGGCGCCCUCCUGGUCUCGAUCGUCAUGGAUUGCGUCACGGGCACCUCGCGAGGUACUCUGCCUUGAUCUCUCCGCCUCCUCGUGAGCCCGCCUGAUGAGGGUGCUCCUGAGGAAGCUUCCUGUCGUCCGCCCCGCGAGUUUUGGCCCCUCGCGAGGGUCUUGCGCUUGAGCUGAUGAAGCUCGGCUGCACUGUGCCUCCGCUUGAGCCACGUCGCAGGCCGUAGGCAGCCAAGUCUGGGGACCCCCGUUUCCAGAAUGCCGACAGUAGCCCCGGGGCCCAAGGUGCGCCCGGACUUGGCUUAGCAGAGAAGCGAAGGGUCCGAAGCGCCGCGGGCCCCAAUAGCCUGCGGCCUUGGGCGCCGUGUGGCAAUUGAUUGGACAUGGGCAUCUCCGCUUCCCCAUGAUACCUCAUUACGCGCCCAGCUAGGCGGACCCGUGGUUGCAUACAGCUAUUCCCCUUUCGCCGUUCGCGCGCUUCCUGCCCUUCCUCCUUCCUCGAGCUCCAACCCCCGCCUCCAAUCCAACUCGAACUCUCCCCCCUUCCCAUCGUCAUGGCGCCAACGAAGAAGGAAAUGGGAAAGAAGCCCGCGCCUUCACCCCGCUCGUCUCCGGCGGCGGCCCCCGCUGUUGAUCGGUCAAUCAUACUCAACCCUGUGGGCGGGUCUGGUUCCUCCCUUUUCCGCUUUCUUUAAUGCGGUGCUCUCCCAUUAUCAGAUUCACCUGAUGCACUUGGGGCCUGAGUCCAUUACCCUUCUGGCUGUUUUCGCCUUUGUUUGCGAGGCAAUGGUGGGCAUUCCUCCUUCUGUUGCCCUCCUGCGCCACUUCUUCUCCCCACUCAAUGCUCGGGGUGUGUGAGCUUCCUCGCCGUGCCAGAGACGGCUGCUUCGGGGAUCGAUUUCGGCCUUCCUUCUUUAGUUGUUUGCUUAAAUCGUAUCUCGGCCGGCGUACUUUCCAUCUUGCAAUCUCGUUCUCAAACCAUUUUUAAUAAAUCACCAUGUUAUAUCUUUCCCUUAUUACAUGGAAUAUGCUUCUUUUUUGUCGGUGUAUGUGUCUUCAACUCGUGUUAUUGGACAGUAAUUGUUUCCUUUCAACCUCCUUUUGCAAACAGGGCUAUCCAUUUUCACCUCGUUGCUAUUGCGACCUUUUGGUAAACUGCACAAAUCACUUUUUUAUUAAGAGUGUUUUGUGCAGUUCCAUCAAAAUGUCACACGAGCAACGUUUUUACAUUUCUGUGGGACUGCGGAAAGGGAGAUUGAUUUUGCUAUCCUCCUCAUCCAACUCCGUGCCUAAUCUUCUCCAACAAAGAAGUUAGUCCUAAAGAAAGAUAGUAGAGGUGAUCGGCUUCUAUUUGUGUGUGUUAUGUUUCAUCAUCUAGUUCCACUAUUAUUGUAAUCACACUGACUGGAUAUCUUUGCAAACAGGGAUGGUCCAAUCGAUUUUUGUGGAGCUGCAGAAAAUGAUCGGAUUGUGGUUUCCUCCAUACACCUCUUUUUUUGCUAUAGAGCUGGGUGAAACAAGCUGCCAAGCAAUGAACGUUGUGCCAAAAAAAUGGAGCCAUGCCUACGAACAACAUCGAUCAAUUUCUUUUUUUUAUUUGUACACCUUCUCACAACUUUAUCUUCAGUUGUGAUGUGAAUAUUGACACUGAUCUACGAACCAUUGAAAUGCAUUAGCCAUGGUAGCUGUGACGUCCCGUUACGUCCAACAGAGUCAGGCGUAACGGAAGCCGUCACUUCAGAGUUGCAUCAGGAUCAGUUAAGGAAAACAGUAUCAUGUACAAGACGCAGCAGCUGCCAUGAGUAGGCAAGUUUUUAUUACAUAGACACCUCAAGUGUCGACUAAGCCUAAGUGACCAUGACGAUAGAUCGUCACCCAUUUCUAGUGCGAGCCUUCUAGACCAACCAUGGAGGGCAUCUACUCUCCAUAGUCUUGAUUGCCAACAUCCUCAUAAUCAUACUCCACUUCCGAAUAACCAGAGUCGUCAAGAUCACCAGACUCAUCAUAAGUACCAUUCUCUAGUGCCUCAGAGUUCUCAUAACUCCCUUGUUCUGAGAAAAAACAUAAGCGCAACUGAGUACAUAUAAAAUACGUAAUCCGCAAGUCGCAGGGAAAAGUGGAUGUAUGAGUUUUUUUAAAGAGGAAAAACUUUAUCGGCCAUGGCUACCACCACCGAGCCAUUAGCUUAAAAUACUUUGUAGGUCAAAAAAAUUAUUUUCCCUUAACCUAUUAUGUUGAAAAUUAAUUUUAUUUAUAAAAUCUACUAGCGACAGAGCAAUGUGGGAUCUUACAUCCUGUGUUAGAGAAAAACCCACACGACGCACUUCCAACCCCGAAAGCUGGGAGUGAUAUCACAUUUAUUCUGAUCAGAGGUGUACUGCUUUGCCCAUAGCAUCACUAGGUCCAAGUCGUCCAUGCGCUACUCGUGCGCACGACUAGACCAAGGAACCAAAACCUUUAACCAGCCCGUAGACUACCUCUGCUUUUCCACCUUGCCUUACUAUAGGUCCGCGGGUCUAGUCCCCUGACCGGCGGUCCCACCCUAGGGUGACUGUACCUACCUGGGUACAACCACCUUCUCACUCAUGCAGAGGUAGCUACUUGGCAUGGGUAGUCGGUUCAGCCCGUCCCAUUCCAGGUCUAUGGUCAGUAUGGUUUGUGCCGCUUUUGACGUAAGCGCUAGUUGGUUGUGUCCUAAUGUAAUACGCUAUGUAGAGGAGUCUGCCAUCCAAGCCAACCCUAAACGGAUUGCCUUCACCAACAUGAGCUCCCCUACCCACCAAAUUUUUAUUUAUAAUGUAACCCUGCCCGAGUCACGACUACUUAAUAUAGAUACUUCACCUGAUCUGGUCCAAUUGCCAAAUCAGUGGAUCCACCUGAUCCAAAUUUCAUUUUAUUUAUGAAAUGUAUUUAUUUUUAGUUCUUAUGCAAAAUUUUGGAAAUGACCCAUAGCCCGGAAAACAUUUAUCAAGACAUGAUCAAGGAGAUGACGACUUGCCGGGUAGCGCUCCGACCAACUCGGAACCACCAGAUGUGGGUCCUAUGCCUGAUAAUUAUUUCACAAAGAAGUUUAUAUUUUUCCCUAAUCAAGAUCCAAGCAUCAAGUAACACUUCCAUACGGUGCAAUCCAUUUUAAUUAAAGAGGUAAUGAUACAUGCUAGUGUGUAAUUAGAAGCAAAAUGCAUACAUCACAUCAAGAAGUACUCCCUCCGUUCCAAAAUAAUUGUCUUUCUAGCCAUCUCAAAUGGACUACAACAUACGGAUGUAUGUAGACAUGCUUUAGAGUAUAGAUUCACUUAUUUUACUUCGUAUGUAGUGACUUGUUGAAAUCUCUAGAAAGACAAUUAUUUCGGAACGGAGGGAGUAGUACGCACGUGCACAUCACAAAGAGCAAGCAAGCAAGCUCAAAAGGAAAAAACGUGUUUAGCUGGUCGAACCCAACCCCGGCAGAAAUAUCAUUUCUUUUUUCUCCAACUAGUCAUCUUCCCCAGCUCUCUACCUCUCUCUCUCUCACUGUCACUGGUAUGCUCAGCCACGAACAGAACCAACUCCAUCUCUCUCUCCCUAACUACAGAGCAGGUCGCCGCCGGCUCGAUCUGCCACUUCCGGACAUCUCCGGCGACACCGUGGACACCCACAGAAUCCCCUCGACUCCCUCUACCAUAUCCCCCCAUUUAUUUGAUCCGCCGCCGCCAAAAUCGCCGCCACCCUCAAACCCCAGCGUCGUCUGCAUCGGGUCCGAUGGGUUCACCACGGGCCGCAGUAGCAAUGGCAUAUCCCUGCCUACAACCUCCUCCAGCAGAGCUGCACGCACGAGGCAUGCAACUACGGCCGUCGGGAGCGAGCAUCUUAACCGGCGCGGCUCCGGCAACAUGGCCGCUACCGGCGCCUGGCUCGCCUUUGUCUACUGCUACUAGUGUAAGUGUCAGUCCAAAUUUCUCUCUGUGCAGUGUUCUUACCUCUACUGCUAGUGUUUGUGCUAUGACUCCCCUUACUGCCAUGCUUCUUGUUAAUAUCAAGACCAAGGAAUUAAUCAAGCUUUACUCGAUGGUGUGGACGUGGUCUCCAGAUUUAUUCUAUAUUGUUUAUUCAAUUUUUAGCUCUACUACACUAUCCUCGCACUACUAUGAUUCUUUUUUAAUUAAGCUCAUAACUAGGAAUUAACCAGUGAAUUCCUACUAUUACCGACUUGAUCAAAAAGCGACAAGUUAAUUGCUUCUGAUAGUUAGGUGCUGCCACAAACUAAAUCUAAAUGUUGCUUCUACUGUGUGUGCGCGUGCACUCAUUUCUGGACCCUACAAUAGUCAAGUGAACAUUGACAUUGAUCACUCAAAACAUACUUAGAAAGGGGAUCAGGAAAGGGAAAAUAAAAGGAUAUCAGGAAUUUAUUUGUACAAGAUUUGCACAAAGUAUGUUUAUUUAUUUUUCUGUUUUCAGAAUGAGGCAUGUGCAAAUGAGACAUGGCAAACAUUAGCCAAACAAUGUUCAAUACAACUAGGAAGGGAUCAUUAAGAUGAGUAGCAUACACAGGAAGCUUGAGCUAUUAGCUGUACAUGUAAAUCUUAGCAAGUUAAUAUUUGGGGUUUAAUUCUCAGCAUGACAUGUCUAUUAUAUACAUAGAUUUAGUACAAGACAGAGAUGGACAUGCAUAGUACACAUGCAUCACUAAACCACCAUGUACCAAUUUGUCUUCAUCUAAUUUAUGUGCUUUCUUUUUCUAACCAUCAUUCUUCUUUUUACAAAGUAACUAGAGUCCAAAAGAUCAGGUGUUCAUGUUCUAAGCAAAGAUGAAGAUGGAUCAAGCAAACAAAGCUGCAAAAGCAAGGCACUUGAAUAGUACCUGAUGGCAACUCAGCAUCCGACCAAAAGAGUGGAUGGGGAUGGUGGGGAGAGCUUGGUUCUCUCUUGUGCGUGUUGUGUGCAGUAGAGGAAGUCAAAGGUGAAAGGAGGAGGCUGCUAUUUAUAGUAGUGUAGGGUGCUAGGUCGGUUUGGUAAAAGAGAGAUGUGGCUGACAUGCAUGGUUGCAUGAGCAUGCAAGCCUCCACAUGUAAUCAUGUGAGUUGUACAACGGACAAGUGUAUAGUGCAUGGUUCGACACGAGAUGGCAUAUAAUUUGUGUGUAAGGAAUGAGACAAGGGCCUAAUUAUAAAUCUGCAAACAAUAAGGGAGUUGGAGAAGAACCAUUGUACAUGGCUAAAUACUAACUUUUUUGGUUGCAAUAAAUUUUUGAUAUUAGUGUUGUGGUCAAUUAUAAUUAUUCAACUAACUAUGCCUUGUGACACUGGUGUAACAUAGCGCCGUCAAAAAUAUUGUUAUCUAAUUUUGAGGGUUUUUACAUCCCUUCCCCCUUCGAAAAAUUUCGUCCUCGAAAUUUGAGUUGUGACUCGUAUAGGCUGGCCCAAGUCUAACCCUCUCAGCCUAAUCAUGUAUAGGCUAGCAUUAAAGAUUAUACACUCAAUGCAUAUGGGAUUGUUGUGGAAGACAGGCUCAACAAUUAUUGGGCCUCCGAGUGAGUCUACUUCUAUGAGUUUGGCUAGGGAGGUUCGGUCCAGACUACAUGUCUCAGCAAAGUGUCGGGAUAUGAAAGGAUAUGUUGCCCUUGAUGUAAUAAAAUAAAUAAUAAUAAUACUAAGACUACUGCAAGAGGGAUUUAUAGGUUACUGAUGACCCACAAGUGUAGGGAAUCUAUCGUAGUCCUUUCGAUAAGUAAGAGUGUCGAAUCCAAUGAGGAGCAGAAGGAAAUGAUAAGCGGUUUUCAGUAAGGUUUUCUCUGCAAGUACUGAAACUGUAGGUGAUAGAUAGUUUUGUGAUAAGAUAAAUAGUAACGAGUAACAAGUAAAUAAAGUAAAUAAAGUGCAGCAAGGUGGCCCAAUCCUUUAUGUAGCAAAGGAUAAGCCUGGACAAUUUUUAAUAGUGAUAAAGGAGCUCCCGAGGAAAAAUUGGGAAUUAUCGUCAAGCUAGUUUUCAUCACGUUCAUAUGAUUCGCGUUCGGUACUUUGAUAACUUGAUAUGUGGGUGGACCGGUACUUGGUUACUGCCCUAACUUGGACAAGCAUCCCACUUAUGAUUAACCCCUAUUGCAAGCAUCCGCAACUACAAAAAGAAGUAUUAAGGUAAACCUAACCACAACAUUAAACAUAUGGAUCCAUAUAAGCCCCUAAUGAAGCAACGCAUAAACUACGGUUUAACCUUCUGUCACUCUAGCAACCCAUCAUCUACUUAUUACUUCCCCAUGCCUUCCUCUAGGCCCAAAUAAUGGUGAAGUGUCAUAUAGUCGACGUUCACAUAACACCACUAGAGGAAAAGACAACAUACAUCUCAUCAAAAUAUCGAAUGAAUACCAAAUUCACGUGACUACUAAUAGCAAGACUUCACCCAUGUCCUCAAAAACAAACGUAACUGCUCACAAAGCAUAUUCAUGUUCAUAAUCAGAGGAGUAAUAAUAUGCAUAAAGGAUCUGAACAUAUUAUCUUCCACCAAGUAAACCAAUUAGCAUCAACUACAAGGAGUAAUCAACACUACUAGCAACCCACAGGUACCAAUUUGUGGUUUUGAUACAAGAUUGGAUACAAGAGAUGAACUAGGGUUUUGGGAGGAGAUGGUGCCGGUGAAGAUGUUGAUGGAGAUUGACCCCCUCCCGAUGAGAGGAUCAUUGGUGAUGACGUUGGUGAUGAUUUACCCCUCCCGGAGGGAAGUGUCCCCGGCAGAAUAGCUCUGCCAGAGCCCUAGAUUGAUUCCGCCAAGAUUCCACCUCGUGGCGGCGGAGUUUCGUCCCGUAAGCUUGCCCACAAUUUUUUCCAGGGUAAAAGUGAUGAUAUGGCAGAAGAUGGACGUCGGAGGCCCACCAGGGGGCCUAGGAGAUAGGGGGCGCGCCCCCUGUCUCCUGGACAGGGUGUGGGCCCCCUGGCAUAUUUCAGGACUUUUGGAGCUGUGCAGAAUAGGUUUCCAACGUUUGCUCCUUUUCUAGCUAGAAUUUCAGCUGCCAGCAUUCCCCCUCUUCAUGGUAAACCUUGUAAAAUAAGAGAGAAUAGCCAUAAGUAUUGAGAUAUAAUGUGUAAUAACAACCCAUGAUGCAAUAAAUAUUGAUAUAAAAGCAUGAUGCAAAAUGGACGUAUCAACUCCCCAAGCUUAGACCUCGCUUGUCCUCAAGCGGAAGCCGAAAUUGAAAAAUAUGUCCACAUGUUUAGAGAUAGAGGUGUCGAUAAAAAUAAAAUAUGGACAUGAGGGCAUCAUGAUCAUUCUAAUAACAACUACAUACAUAAAUUUUGUCAUAUGAUUCUCUAUGCUCAAGAUACAAGCAAUUCAUAAUGUCAAGUAUGGUUCAAAAACUUCAUUGGGAACUAACAAACUAUGAUCUCAGUCAUUGAAGCAAUUGCAAUUUAUCGUAACAUCAGAAAGAGUCAAUAAUGGAGCUUUUCAGCAAGCUCACAUACUCAACUAUCUCUUAGUCUUCUACAAUUGCUAACACUCACACAGUACUUGUGGUUAUAGAGUUUCAGCCGGACACUGAGAAAGAUAGGGGCUUAUUGUGUUGCCUCCCAACGUAUUCACCUUUAGGUGAUGUCAACAAUAAUAGCCCAUGCUAACUUACAUCCAAUUGGAUAUAUAUAUAUCAUGAUCUUUCAAACACGAGGAGCUUGCCAAAGGAUAAAAUGAAAAAGGGACAGGUGAGGAUCACCUUGACUCAAGCAUAAAGUAAAAACAUAAAGUAAAAGAUAGGCCCUUCGCAGAGGGAAGCAGAGGUUGUCAUGUGCGUUUAGGGUUGAUGAACAAAAUCUUAAUGCAAAAGAACGUCACUUUAUAUUGCCCCUUGUAUGUGGACCUUUAUUAUGCAGUCCGUCGCUUUUAUUACUUCCACAACAAGUUCGUACAAAGCUUAUUUUCUCUGCACUAAUAAGUCAUACAUAUUUAGGUAGCAAUUUUAUCGCUUGCAACAUGACAACUUACUUGAAGGAUCUUACUCAAUCCAUAGGUAGGUAUGGUGGACUCUCAUGGCAAAACUGGGUUUAAGGGUAUUUGGAAGCACAAGUAGUAUCUCUACUUGGUGCAAGGAAUUUGGCUAGCAUGAGGGGGAAAGGCAAGCUCAAUAUGUUCGGAAGGUCAAUGACAAUAUACUUUAACUGAGAUGUCGGAAAACAUAGACCAUUACGUUGUCUUCCUUGUCCAACAUCAACUAUUUUAGCAUGUCAUACUUAAUGAGUGCUUCACAAUCAUAAAAGAUGUCCAAGAUAAUAUAUUUAUAUGUGAACCCCUCUUUCCUUAUCACUUCCUAUUAAUUGCAACGAUGACCAAGGCUACGUUCAUCAACUCUCAACAAUUUUUAUGCCUCAUACGUUCUAUGUGUGAAGUUAUCACUAUCCAUAAGAUCAAUAUGAACUCCAUUAUUCUUUCUACUUUCUCAAGAUCAUAGCAACAUAGCAAGGCCCUUGAAUCGACACUAAUCUUUAUUAUAGAUAACUCACGGACUCGAUUACAAAAAGAGAUCAAAAAGCAAAACUCGAAACUACUUGAUACCUAAAUUUCAAUCUACUAGAUCAAGAUACUACUAAAAGGAUCGAACUAAAUAAAACGGUAAAGAUAGGAGUGUGAUGGUGAUACGAUACCGGGGCACCUCCCCCCAAGCUUGGCAGUUGCCAAGGGGAGUGCCCAUAUCCAUGUGAUUAUGUCCUCGGAGGUGGUGAAGUAGGAGUUGUUGAUGAUGUAGGCUUGUCGUCCGUCUUCCAAGGCAUAGGCUCUCCAUCAUAAAAGGAUGAACGAGUCUCCGGGAUCCUUAAAUCUGCAGCCAAACUCAUUCGCUUGAAUCUAUAUUCAUACUCACAGUUCUGAUUUUGUAGGUCAUAGAUCUGGGAUUGGAGGUGCUCGAUUUUCUCUUGAAGCUUGAAGAUGGUCUCCCAAAUGACUUUAGCAUCUAGCUUGUGGUUGUUGGUGAACUCUGUGAUCAUCAUCUAGUUGGCGUUGAGUCCACGCUCCACCAUCCCUUGGCACUUUAAAACUUCCUGUUCCAUGGCUUCGAGCUUUGUCUCCACGCUCCCGGUAUGCCUUGGUCCCUCCACAUCGCGGAUGUGCAGCACCCCCUCACGCAUCUCAAUGGUUUGAGGAUGAUGCAGCACCUCCGCGAGAUAGGGGUUGAUAACCCUCUCGAAAAACUUGUCCUUGGGAGCGCUUGGAGACGCCAUGAUGCUCUAGAUCUGAAAUAGUAACAACUCGAAACGAAAACAGUGGAUAUUUGCGUGAUACGGUGGUCAAAACCUUCGGGAGUAUAUAUAAUGAAUUUUUAUCGACCAAAAUACAUAACGUGCAAGAAAACGGAGUCCGGGAGGCACACGAGGUGCCCACGAGACAGGGGGCGCGCCCUACAAGGGGGGGUGCCCUCCACUCUCGUGGGGGCCUCGUGUCCCUUUCUGACUACUUCUUUCUUCCUAAAAUUCUUAAAUAAUCCAAAACUGAUAAAAAUUGCCAUUAGAGUUGUUUUGGAGUCGGUUUACUUACCGUACCACAUACCGAUACCUUUUCGGAGUCUAGAACGUUCUGGAAAGUGUCCCUUAUGUAUUCCUCGGGGGUUACUGUUUCAAUAAUAUUAGUUUCAACAUUGAUAGGAUUACCUGAAAUAUAAUGUUUAUUUCUUUGACCAUUUACCACCCUCGGAUUUGUGCCUUCGAAGUUGUUGAUUUUAUAGCACCAGAACGAUAGACCUCCUCGAUAACGUAGGGACCUUCCCAUUUUGAGAGAAGUUUUCCUGCAAAAAAAAUUAAACGAGAGUUGAAUAAUAACACAUAAUCUCCUAUAUUAAACUCACGCUUUUGUAUCCUCUUAUCAUGCCAGCGUUUGACUUUUUCUGUGAAUAGCUUGGCAUUCUCAUAUGCUUGGGUUCUCCAUUCAUCAAGUGAGCUAAUAUCAAACAACCUCUUCUCACCGGCAAGUUUGAAGUCAUAAUUGAGCUCUUUGAUAGCCCAAUAUGCCCUAUGUUCAAGUUCAAGAGGUAAAUGACACGCUUUUCCAUAAACCAUCUUAUAUGGAGACAUACCCAUAGGAUUUUUGUAUGCAGUUCUAUAGGCCCAUAAUGCAUCAUCAAGUUUUUUGGACCAAUUCUUUCUAGAUCUAUUCACAGUAUUUUGUAAAAUUAAUUUGAGCUCUCUAUUGCUCAACUCUACAUGACCACUAGACUGCGGAUGAUAAGGAGAUGCUAUUCUAUGAUUGACAUCAUACUUAGCAAGCUUCUUACGGAAAGCACCAUGAAUAAAAUGUGAACCACCAUCAGUCAUAAGAUAUCUAGGGACUCCAAACCUCAGAAAAAUAACUUCUUUAAGCAUUUUAAUAGAAGUGUUAUGAUCAACACUACUAGUUGGAAUAACUUCUACCCACUUAGUAACGUAAUCAACAACAACUAAAAUAUGUGUAUAACCAUUAGAGGCAGGAAAAGGUCCCAUAUAAUCAAAGCCCCAAACAUCAAACAGUUCAAUAACAAGAGAAUAAUUCUUAGGCAUUUCUUGACGUCUACUAAUGUUACCUAUUCUUUGACAUUCAUCACAAGAUAAGACAAACUUACGAGCAUCUUUAAAGAGAGUAGGCCAAUAAAAACCAAAUUGUAGUACCUCGUGUGCAGUUCUAUCUCCAGCGUGGUGUCCCCCAUAAGAUUCAGAGUGACACUUGCAUAGAAUCUGUUCCUGUUCAUGCUCAUGCACCCAACGUCUAAUAACACCAUCUACUCCUUUAUAAAGGUGUGGAUCAUCCCAGAAGUAAUGUCUUAAAUCAUAAAAGAACUUUUUCUUUUGCUGGUAUGUGAAACUAGGCGGUAUAUAUUUAGCAACAAUGUAAUUAGCAUAAUCAGCAUACCAAGGAGCAGUACGAGAAGCAUUGACGACCGCUAAUUGUUCAUCAGGAAAGCUAUCAUUAAUAAGCAGUGGGUCAUCAAGAACAUUCUCUAACCUAGACAAGUUGUCUGCAACGGGGUUCUCAGCUCCCUUUCUAUCGAUAAUAUGCAAGUCAAAUUCUUGGAACAAGAGAACACAUCUAAUGAGUCUAGGCUUAGGAUCUUUAUUUUCCAUAAGAUAUUUAAUAGCAGCAUGAUCAGUGUGAAUAGUAACUUUGGAAUCAACAAUAUAAGGUCUAAACUUAUCACAUGCAAACACAACUGCUAAGAACUCUUUUUCAGUAGUAGCAUAAUUUCUCUGGGAAGUAUCAAGAGUCUUACUAGCAUACUGGAUAGCAUUCAAUUUCUUAUCGACUCUUUGCCCUAAAACAACACCUACAGCAUAAUCACUAGCAUCGCACAUAAUUUCAAAAGGUAAAUUCCAAUCAGGCAGCUGAACAAUAGGUGCAGUGAUCAAAGCUUUCUUAAGUACUUCAAAUUCUUCUACACAAUCAUCAUCAAAGAAAAGGAAUAUCUUUUUGCAAUAAAUUAGCCAGAGGCCUAGAGAUUUUAGAAAAGUCCUGAAUGAACCUCCUAUAAAAACCGGCGUGACCAAGGAAACUUCUUAUACCUUUUAUGUCCUUGGGACAUGGCAUCUUUUCAAUAGCAUCAUUGGCCUUAUCAACUUCAAUACUUCUCUCAGAGAUCUUGUGCCCCAAGACAAUGCCUUCAUUAACCAUAAAGUGACACUUUUCCCAAUUCAAGACGAGACUAGUGUCUUCGCAUCUCUGUAAAACUCGAUCAAGAUUGCUCAAACAAUCAUCAAAAGAGGAUCCAUAGACUGAGAAGUCAUCCAUGAAUACCUCACAAAUCUUUUCACAAAAAUCAGAGAAUAUAGCCAUCAUGCCUCUUUGAAAGGUUGCAGGUGUAUUACAUAAACCAAAAGGCAUAUGUCUAUAAGCAAAAGUACCAAAAGGGCAAGUAAAAGUAGUUUUAGAUUGAUCCUUCGCUGAUACAGGUAUCUGAGAGAAACCAGAAUAACCAUCUAGAAAGCAGAAAUGUGCGUGUUUGGAUAGUCUUUCUAGCACUUGAUCAAUAAAAGGUAAAGCAUAAUGAUCUUUCUUAGUAGCUUUAUUAAACUUACGGAAAUCAAUUACCAUCCUAUAACCUGUAAUAAUUCUUUGCGGGAUCAAUUCAUCUUUAUAAUUAGGAACAACGGUAAUACCUCCCUUUUUAGGAACACAAUGAACAGGGCUUACCCAUUCAGUAUUAGCAACGGGAUAAAUAAUACCUGCCUCAAGGAGUUUUAGUAUCUCCUUUCUUACCACUUCUUUCAUCUUGGGAUUUAAUCGUCUUUGAGGAUCUCUAACUGGUUUGGCAUCUUUCUCCACUGAAAUUUUAUGUUGACAUAAUGUGGGACUAAUGCCCUUAAGAUCAUCCAGAGUAUAUUCAAUAGUUGCUCGGUGCUUCUUCAGAGUUUUCAAUAAUCUUUCUUCUUCUUUCUCUGAAAUGUUAGCACUAAUAAUAACAGGAUAUAUUUCUUUUUCAUCAAGAUAAGCAUACUUAAGAUUAUCAAGUAAGGGUUUAAGUUCAAACACGGGAUCACCCUUGGGUGGAGGGGGAUCCCCAAGAAUUUCAACGGGAAGGUUAUGUUUCAGCAUAGGUUCCUGUUUAAGGAACACUUCAUCUAUUUCCUCCCUUUCCUUCAUAAACAUAUCAUUUUCAUGGUCUAGCAAAUAUUGUUCUAAAGGAUCGGUUUGAGGAACAGCAAUGGAAGCAAGACCAAUAAUUUCAUCCUUACUAGGUGGUUCCCUUUCACGAGGUUGUCUACUAAACUUAGCGAAAUUAAACUCAUGAGACAUACCAUCAAUGCCAACAGUGACAAUAUUCUUUUCACAAUUGAUCUUAGCACUAGCAGUAUUCAAGAAGGGUCUACCAAAAAUAAUGGGACAAAAAUCAUCUUGUGGGGAACCAAGAACAAGAAAACCAGCAGGGUAUUUAACUUUCCCACAAAAAACUUCAACAUCUCUAACAAUCCCAAUAGGUUUAAUGGUAUCCCUAUUAGCAAGCUUAAUAGUAACAUCAAUGUCUUCUAAUUCAACAGGUGCAAUGUCAUGCAUAAUUUCUUUAUAUAAAUCAUAAGGUAUAGCACUAGCACUAGCACCCAUAUCACAUAAGCCAUGAUAACAAUGGUCUCCUAUUUUAACAGAAAUAACAGGCAUGCCUACAACAGGUCUACGUGUCUUAGUAUCAGGUCUAGCAAUAUUGGCAGUCUCACCCAAGAAAGAAAUAACAUGCCCAUCUAAAUCCUCAUCCAAGAGAUCUUUAACCAUAGCAAUACUAGGUUCAACAUUAAUUUGCUCAGGAGGUGUAUAAGUCCUAGUAUUACUCUUAUGAACAACAGUCGAAGCAUUAGCAUGAUCUUUUAUCCUAACAGGAAAAGGAGGUUUUUCAACAUAAGCAGUAGGAACAAUAGGAUCACUAUAGGUAAUAGUCUUUUCUUCGACUGUAAUAGGUGCAACUACUUUCACUUCAACAGGAGGAUUAUAUUUAAACCACUUCUCUUUAGGGAGAUCAACGUGAGUAGCAAAAGAUUCACAGAAAGUAGCUACUAUCUCAGAGUCAAGUCCAUACUUAGCGCUAAAUCCACGGAAAGCAUAGGUAUCCAUAAAAGAUUUAACACAAUCGAACUUAGGUGUCAUACCUGACUCCUUACCAUCGUCGGAACCCCAAUAUUCAGAGUUGCGUUUAAUUCUUUCCAAUAAGUCCCAUUUGAAAUCAGUAGUCUUCAACAUAUAAGAACUAGCACAGGAAGUAUCGAGCAGGUUGCGAUUAUCAAGAGAAAGCCGAGCAUAAAGGUUCUGAAUAAUCAUUUCCCGAGAGAGCUCAUGAUUGGGGCAUGAAUAUAACAUUGACUUAAGCCUCCCCCAAGCUUUAGCGAUGCUUUCUCCUUCGCGAGGCAAGAAAUUAUAUAUGUAAUUACGAUCACGAUGAACAAGAUGCAUAGGAUAGAACUUUUGGUGAAAUUCCAACUUCAAUCGCUUAUAAUGCCAAGAUCCCAUAUCAUCACAUAUCCUAUACCAUAUAAAUGCAUCUCCCUUCAAAGAUAAAGGGAAGACCUUCCUUUUGACAACAUCAUCGGGAAUACCUGCAAGCUUAAAUAAUCCAUAAACUUCAUCCACAAAGAUAAGGUGUAAAUCGGGAUGCAAUGUUCCGUCUCCUGCAAAUGGAUUAGCUAGCAGUUUUCUAUCAUACCCGAAGGAAUCUCAAAGUAAAUAUUUUCAUAAAGUUCAGUAAGUUGAGAAGCAACUCUUUGCUCUUCUGGUUGGGGUGAAGAUACCCCAAACAAGCCCCUCAAAGGAUUAGUUUCCAUAGUGACAAGUAACAGAAAAUCUCAGCACACUAUAUAAAUGUUUCUUUACCAAGUUCCACUCACCAAAAGCGCUACACUCCCCGGCAACGGCGCCAGAAAAGAGUCUUGAUGACCCACAAGUGUAGGGGAUCUAUCUUAUUCCUUUCGAUAAGUAAGAGUGUCGAACCCAACGAGGAGCAGAAGGAAAUGAUAAGCGGUUUUCAGUAAGGUUUUCUCUGCAAGCACUGAAACUGUAGGUGAUAGAUAGUUUUGUGAUAAGAUAAAUAGUAACGAGUAACAAGUAAAUAAAGUAAAUAAAGUGCAGCAAUGUGGCCCAAUCCUUUAUGUAGCAAAGGAUAAGCCUGGACAAUUUCUAAUAGUGAUAAAGGAGCUCCCGAUGACACAUUGGAAAUUAUCGCCAAGCUAGUUUUCAUCACGUUCAUAUGAUUCGCGUUCGGUACUUUGAUAAUUUGAUAUGUGGAUGGACCGGUACUUGGGUACUGCCCUAACUUGGACAAGCAUCCCACCUAUGAUUAACCCCUAUCGCAAGCAUCUGCAACUACAAAAGAAGUAUUAAGGUAAACCUAACCACAACAUUAAACAUAUGGAUCCAUAUAAACCCCUAACGAAGAAACACAUAAACUAGGGUUUAAGCUUCUGUCACUCUAGCAACCCAUCAUCUACUUAUUACUUCCCCAUGCCUUCCUCUAGGCCCAAAUAAUGCCGAACUGUCAUGCAGUCGACGUUCACAUAACACCACUAGAGGAAAAGACAACAUACAUCUCAUCAAAAUAUCGAACGAAUACCAAAUUCACAUGACUACUAAUAGCAAGACUUCACCCAUGUCCUCAGGAACAAAUGUAACUACUCACAAAGCAUAUUCAUGUUCAUAAUCAGAGGAGUAAUAAUAUGCAUAAAGGAUCUGAACAUAUGAUCUUCCACCAAGUAAACCAAUUAGCAUCAACUACAAGGAGUAAUCAACACUACUAGCAACCCACAGGUACCAAUUUGUGGUUUUGAUACAAGAUUGGAUAUAAGAGAUGAACUAGGGUUUUGGGAGGAGAUGGUGCUGGUGAAGAUGUUGAUGGAGAUUGACUCCCUCCCGAUGAGAGGAUCGUUGGUGAUGACGUUGGUGAUGAUUUCCCCCUACCGGAGGGAAGUGUCCCCGGCAGAACAGCUCUACCAGAGCCCUAGAUUGAUUCCGUCAAGGUUCCGCCUCGUGGCGGCGGAGUUUUGUCCCAUAAGAUUGCCCACGAUUUUUUCCAGGGUAAAAUUGAUGAUAUAGCAGAAGAUAGACGCCGGAGGCCCAACAGGGGGCCCAGGAGAUAGGGGGUGCGCCCUAUAGGGGGGGCGCCCCCCUGUCUCCUGGACAGGGUGUGGCCCCCCUGGCAUAUUUCUUUCGCUCAGAAAUUCUUAUUAAUUCCAAAAAGUUGUUUCGUGGAGUUUCAGGACUUUUGGAGCUGUGCAGAAUAGGUUUCCAAUGUUUGCUCCUUUUCCAGCCAGAAUUCCAACUGUCGGCAUUCCCCCUCUUCAUGGUAAACCUUGUAAAAUAAGAGAGAAUAGCCAUAAGUAUUGAGAUAUAAUAUGUAAUAACAGCCCAUAAUGCAAUAAAUAUUGAUAUAAAAGCAUGAUGCAAAAUGGACGUAUCAGUUACCCGUGACCACGUCCGAAGCUGCAUUCACUUGUGUCGCAUCGAUGUGUUUCAGGUGGUAUGGUACACGUGCUAGACCACUAGGACCACGUCCGCGGCUAGCCACAAGCACAUUCGCACGUACUUGUGCUGAAUUAGCCCGAUGCUUGUUUUGAGGUGGGACAGUUCCACUCGUGCCAGGUUGUGGUUGACUCUUACUCAGGCAUUUGUUUUGUAGUGACCCUUUUGUCCACAACCAAAACAGACAACACUCGCCUUUGGGCAAUCUCGAGCGAUGUGUGGUCCACCGCACACAUGACACUUUAUAGGGGCUUUAGGAGGCAUAAAGGGUGGUCUAGGGGCUUGAGGGAGAGGAGGACAGAUGGGUCCGACCAUUGGUGGGCGGACUAGGCCAACAGAGUUGUAUCCACUCCUCAUGAGGAACCUCUGGUCCAUUCUAGAUUUCUUUCUCCGUUCUUCCUCUAUGGCUAAUUGCCGAUUCUCAAUAAUAAUGACUCGAUCUACUAGCUCCCGAAACUUAGUUAUAUUUAUAGGGGCUAUGAUCAGCUGUAUGGAUGGCUUCAAUCCUUCUAUGAACCGGUACACCCUUUUGGUCUCAGUGUUUGUGUCUUCUGAUGCAUAGCGGGAUAGUGAGUUAAACUCAUCUAGGUACUCUGCGAUGGUUUUAGACCCUUGUUUAAGGCUUAGGAAUUUCUUACUUUUUAGUUCCAUCGCACUUUGCGGGACAUAGUUAUCUCGGAAUCUCCUCUUAAAUUCCUCCCAAGUAACUAUGUGGUUUUCGGGUAUGAUAAUUUGGACAUUUCUCCACCAUGUGGCAGCAGGACCAAUUAACCGAUGGGAUGCAUACCGAACUUUUUCUUGAUCCGUGCAUCCCACAGUGUUAAGUUUCAGCUCUAUGUCCAUCAACCAAUCCUCUGCGGCUAAUGGAUUGUGGCGGUUGAAAAGGUUGGUGGUCUAGUCUUUUGGAAGUCUCCAAUCGUGACACCUUGUUCUGGGUUUUUAGUCAGUUGGCCUCUCGUCACACUGAACAUCUGCUCCAUGAACUUAUUCUGGUGUUCUAGAGAGUCUCGAUGAGACUGCUCCAUCCACUGAUACAUUAGAGCAAGUUGAUCGGAUCCAGGGGCAUGAUGGGGUAAUGGUGGAGGUGGAGGUAACGUCACUCUAGACAACAAAUCUGCCAUGUUCCUUAGCCACUCGGGUGCUAAAUCUGAUGGGUUCCCAUUGUCUUCGAAUGACUGACUACCAGAUGCCAUCGCUACCGAUCUGGUGGGCAAGGCAUAGGUUAUAACGAUAGCUACUACAUGUGAAAAUAUUUUAUUUAUUUGAUUAGAGGUGAGAUUUUAGCCCACACAGUACACUUCACGCUUCCUUUUUUGGAGCAUCUAUUUAAACAGUGCACUUAACAGCGACAUACUAGAAAAUUUUGCGAAACAUUUUUUUACUUGUUGUUGGCCGAAGAAUAAAAGCAGUCAAACAAAGUGAUUCUUUUUAUCAUGACAGAGGCAAGAGAUUAAUCACAAUUCAAAAAUAGAGCCACUUGCACAUGCACAUGCACACACAAGUUCUUCAUGUACCGGAUUAAAAGCAUUCAAUCAUCAAGUGCGUGACAUACAUCAAUUGAACUCAUGAAGUGCUAGGAAAAAUGUAGCGGCAUCAGCACAUAAUAUAUAUACUAGCCCAACACGUGAUGUACCAAGGCAUGGACUGGAAUGAAGAGAUCACCCGAAAAAAUCUACCAUACAUCAGACGCCAUUAUGAAGCAUUGGCAACAACGUGGCAACAACAUCACAUACAGUAUUCCAUCAUACAGAGCAAGGAGCAUAAAAAGAACCAGAAUUUAAAAUGACAUGGCAUAUGCGUCACACGAGAUCACCUAGUAGUAGAAUAUCAGUACAUCCAUAAGUCCACCGGUCCACAUGAAUACAUCACAUAACAUAAUCGCAACACCACACAUGACUAUUUGUCGUACCAUCAGGUUACCAUGACUAUCUAUAUAUGUACCUAGAAAAAAAGUAUAUAUGUCUCCCUAUCUGCCUGUCGGGACCAAUCUGGGUAAAUAUGGUUGUGUAAACUCUAGAAGGGUAGCUAUGUCUACAAGACCUUUCUAAUUAUGUACAAAAUCCAAAAGGACAACCUCCAUGCAUCUGCCUAAACAUCUAAUAAGUGGUGGAACUAACUCUGCGAGGAGUAACUAUCUAGCAUGAUGCCACAACCUUGUUAGAAAACUAACUACUACUACUAAUAGUACGAAGUCAAUCCUCCCUGAUGAGAAGACUAGGUGAAAUGGUGAGGAGCAAGUCGGGGUUGAGGACAGAAGUCGGUGAAGGUAUAGACUGACUGGGUGCGGUGCCUCUGAAGAGUGCCUACUUGGUCUAACAGGUCCUGAACAAGCUGAGGUGUAGGUGGACACCUGUACGGUGUAGAGGGACGAGACACUGCUCGAGCGGGGGAACCCCUAAAAACUCUAGGAGUUGGGCAGUCUGCACGAGGGGGUGGAACUGCUUGGUACAAAUGAGGAAGAGCGGCAGUCAGAGUUAGUGGUGGUAAAAACGUGAGAGGUAAAACAGGAGGACGUGGUGGAAGUGGAAGGAAAGCAAAAGUGGACGCAAAAUGGUGAAGGAGCGACAGUGGGUGGAGGUGCUGACGAAUUCCCUGAUUACUCUUAUUGAUGAGCCAAUUGCCUCUACCACGCAAACAAGGAGAAGGUGGCAGGCAUGGAAAAUAUGUAAAGUGGCAUUCCAUGCCGCACCCUAAAGUGCUGAAGCAAAGUUGUAUUGUGCGACACUAUGCCUAGAUGGGACAUCUAAGCCCUCGGGUAUGUGCACUGUGACUAAGUACCCCGUGGAAUGAUACGUCUCUAAAGUAUCUAUAAUUUUUGAUUGUUCCAUGCUAUUACAUUACCCCUUUUGGAUGUUUAUGGGCUUUAUUUUACACAUUUAUAUCAUUUUUUGGGACUAACCUACUAACCGGAGGCCUAGCCCAUAUUGCUGUUUUUUGCCUAUUUCAGUAUUUCGAAGAAAAGGAAUAUCAAACGGAGUCCAAACGGAAUGAAACCUUCGGCAACAUGAUUUUUUGGAAGAAUAUGAUCCUGGAGACUUCGAGUCCAUGUCAGAAGAUCCUCGAGGGGGCCACGAGAUAGGAGGUCACGCCCCCCUUACAGGGUGGUGGCCUCCUAUCUCGUGGGCCCCUCGAGCACCUCCCGACUGACUUCUUUCGCCUAUAUAAGCCUACGUACCCUAAAACCAUCAAAAAUCAAGAUAGAUUGGGAGUUCCGCCGCCGCAAGCCUCUGUAGCCACCAAAAACCUCUCGGGAGCCUGUUCCGGCACCCUGCCGGAGGGGGAAUCCAUCACCGGUGGCCAUCUUCAACAUCCCAGCGCUCUCCAUGACGAGGAGGGAGUAGUUCACCCUUGGGGCUGAGGGUAUGUACCAGUAGCUAUGUGUUUGAUCUCUCUCUCUCUCGUGUUCCCUCUAUGGCACGAUCUUGAUGUAUCCCGAGCUUUGCUAUUGUAGUUGGAUCUUAUGAUGUUUCUCCCCCUCUACUCUCUUGUGAUGAAUUGAGUUUUCCUCUUAAAGUUAUCUUAUCGGAUUGAGUCAUUUAUUUGAGAACACUUGAUGUAUGUAUUGCCCUGUUUAUCUGUGAUGGCAAUGAGAUAUCACGUGCCUCUUGAUGUAUGUUUUGGUGACCAACUUGCCGGUUCCGCCCAUGAACCUAUGCAUAGGGGUUAGCACACGUUCUUGACUCUCCGGUAGAAACUUUGGGGCACUCUUUGAAGUACUUUGUGUUGGUUGAAUUGAUGAAUCUAAGAUUGUGUGAUGCAUAUUGUAUAAUCAUGCCCACGGAUACUUGAGGUGACAAUGGUGUAUCUAGGUGACAUUAGGGUUUUGGUUGAUUUGUGUCUUAAGGUGUUAUUCUAGUACGAACUCUUGAAUAGAUUGAUCUAAAAGAAUAACUUUGAGGUGGUUUCGUACCCUACCAUAAUCUCUUCGUUUGUUCUGCGCUAUUAGUGGCUUUGGAGUGACUCUUUGUUGCAUGUUGAGGGAUUUUUAUAUGAUCUAUCUAUGUUAUUAUUGUUGAGAGAACUUGCACUAGUGAAAGUAUGAACCCUAGGCCUUGUUUUCUAUCAUUGCAAUACCGUUUACACUCACUUUUAUCAUUAGUUACCUUGCUGUUUUUAUAUUUUCAGAUUAGAAAUACCUAUAUCUACCAUCCAUAUUGCACUUGUAUCACCAUCUCUUCGCCGAACUAGUGCACCUAUACAAUCUACCAUUGUAUUGGGUGUGUUGGGGACACAAGAGACUCUUUAUUAUUUGGUUGCAGGGUUGUUUGAAAGAGACCAUAUUCAUCCUACGCCUCCUACGGAUUGAUAAACCUUAGGUCAUCCACUUGAGGGAAAUUUUCUACUGUCCUACAAACCUGUGCACUUGCAGGCCCAACAACGUCUACAAGAAGAAGGUUGUGUAGUAGACAUCAAGCUCUUUUCUGGCGCCGUUGCCAGGGAUGUUAGCGCUUGAAGGUAUAUCUUUAGAUCUUGCAAUCGAAUCUUUUUGUUUCUUGUUUUAUCACUAGUUUAGUUUAUAAAAGAAAACUAUAAAAAAAUGGAGUUAAGUUUGUCUCAUAUUAUCUUUUUAAUAUCUUUCGUGAGCAUGAUGGAAAGGAAAAUUGUGCUCAAGUGCUAGAAGAAGAAUGCAUUAAAAUGCUUGGUAGUAAAUCUUUGAAUGAUGAGCAUGAUUGCAAUGUUGUUAGUAUGAAUUCCUUGAAUAUCCAUGAUGCUAAUGAUAUGCAAAGCCACAAGCUUGGGGAAGAUAUGUUUGAUGAAUAUGAUAUAUUUUGUCCCCCAAGCUUUGAUGAGCAAAUUUAUUUUGAUGAUAGCAUGCCUCCUAUUUAUGAUGAUUAUAUUGAUGAAAGUGGGUUUGGAAGAGUGACAACUUUAGGAAGUAGUGAUCCCACUAUUUUGGAGGAUGUUGAAUCUUAUUACGAUGAACAUGAAAGUGGAUUUGGAAGAGUGUAAACUUUAUUUAGUGAUGAAUCCACUAUUUCGGAAGAGGUUCCAAUUGAUUAUGAGAACAAAGUUGCUAUCUAUGAUGAUUAUUGUGAUGACUUGUAUGCUAUUAGGAAUAAUGAUAACCAUGAAACUUGUCAUCAUGAUUUUAGUUUUGAAUUGGAUUAUGCCUCACAUGAUAAUUAUUUUGUUGAGUUUGCUCCCACUAUUAUUCGUGAGAAGAAAUUUGCUUAUGUGGAGGGUAGUAAAUUUUAUAUGCUUCUAGAUCAUGAAAAGAAUGCUUUAGAUGCUGGUUAUAUUGUUGAAUUCAUUCAUGAUGCUACUGAAAAUUAUUAUGAGGGAGGAACAUAUGCUUGUAGGAAUUGCAAUAACGUCAAGUUUCCUCUCUAUGUGCUUACAUUUUUGAAGCUAUGCUUGUUUUACCUUCCUAUGGUAGUUGAUUAUUGUUCCCAUAAGUUGUUUGCUCACAAAAUCCCUAUGCAUAGGAAGUGGGUUAGGCUUAAAUGUGCUAGUCAUAUGCUUCAUGAUGCUUCCGUUAUGUUUCAAUUCUUAUCUUUUUGUGAGCAUCAUUGUCAUCAUCAUGCCUAGCUAGAAAAGCAUUAAAGAAAAGCGCUUGUGGGAGACAAUCCAAUAUUUAUCCUUACUGUUUUUGUGUGUCCACAUGAUUAUGCUACUGUAGUAAUCAUGUUUUAUAGCUUUUGUUUCAAUAAAGUGUCAAGUAAGACCUUUAGGAUAGCUUAUGGUGAUAGUUGUGUUGAUCCUGCUGAAAAUCAGAAACUUUUUCACCCAGUAAUUUAGUUUUUUUAAUUCACAGAAACGUUCGUCUAGUCUGAUUCUUUUUUCUUUGGAUUGGUACACAAAUUUCUUAGAACUUCCUAAUGUUGUAGGAUUUUUGGAGUUCCAGAAGUAUACGUUUGAUACAGAUUACUACAGACUGUUCUAUUUUUGACAGAUUCUAUUUUCUAUGUGUUGUUUGCUUAUUUUGAUGAAUCUAUGAGUAGUAUCGUAGGAUAUGAACCAUAGAUAAGUUGAAGUACAGUAGAUAUUACACCAAUAUGAAUUUAGAAUGAGUUCAUUACAGUACCUAAGCGGUGGUUUUAGUUUCUUAUACUAAAGGAGCUUACGAGUUUUCUGUUGAGUUUUGUGUUGUGGAGUUUUCAAGUUUUGGGUAAAGAUUCGAUGGACUAUGGAAUAAGGAGUGGCAAGAGCCUAAGCUUGGGGAUGCCCAAGGCACCCCAAGUUAAUAUUCGAGAAUAGCCAAAAGCCUAAGCUUGGGGAUUCCCCAGAAGGCAUCCCCUCUUUCGUCUUCGUUCAUCGGUAACUUUACUUGGAGCUAUAUUUUAUAUUCACCACAUGAUAUGUGUUUUGCUUGGAGCGUAAUUUUCUUUUCUUAGUAUUUUCUUGCUGUUAUUUAGAAUAAUGUUUUGCAUCUUUAGUUUCAAUAAAAAAGUCAAGGAUAGCCUUUGCCAUGCUUAUUUUGCUAUUAUACAUGUUGCUGUUUGAAAACAGAAAGUUUACUGCUGUUGCGAAAAUUCCCUAGAAAAGUCAGAGAAUGGUAUAAUGUUGAAACCUUUUGCAUGAUGAGAUCUGAUAAAUUUACUACAGUGGGAAUUUUAUUUCAUAAUUUUUGGAGUUAGGAAAGUAUGGAUACUCUUGCAUUUUUUACAGACUGUACUGUUUUGGCAGAUUGCUGUUAUGUUUGCAUUGUUUGCAUAUGUUUGCUUGUUUAAUAAUUCUAUUUGAGGAUAGGAAUAUUAAAUAUGCAGAGGCAUUUAGUAUGAAAUGUUGAACAAUAAUUUUAUUGAUUUGUUAUAGUAGAAUAUGAUAAGGUUUUGCAUUGGUUUGUACUAACCUAUCUCACGAGUUUUUGUUGAGUUUGUUGUGAAUGAAGCUUUUGAGAAAUAGAGAAUUCAUGAUAUGAGAGAAAUUAAGGAGACACAAAAGUUCAAGAUUAGGGAUGCCCAAGGCACUCCAACAUAAUAUUCAAGAAGUCUCAAGCAUCUAAGCUUGGGGAUGCCCGGUAGGCAUCCCACCUUUCUUCUUCAACAACUAUCGGUUAGUAUCGGUUGAGCCUAAGUUUUUGCUUCUUCACAUGAGUUGUGCUAUCCUUAAAAUGUCAUUUUAUUUUAUUUUGUUUGCUAUUUGAAUAAGAUACCAAGAUCUAAAAUUUCUUAAUGUUAGAAAGUCUUCACAUAUUUGCACAAUUAUUCGACUACUCAUUGAUCUUCAUAUAUCUUUCGGAGUAGUUUGUCAUUUGCUCUAGUGCAUCACUUAUAUCAUUUAGAGCACGGAGGUGGUUAUAUUUUGUAUAAAUUGUUGACCUCUCAUGCUUCACUUAUAUUAGUUUGAGAGUCUUUUAGAGCAGCAUGGUAUUUGCUAUGAUUACAAAGUUGGUCCUAGAAUGAUGAGCAUCCAAGUUGGGUAUAAUAAAAACUAUCAUAGAAAGUGAAUUGGAUGCUAUGAUCAACUUGAUGCUUGAUAAUUGUUUUGAGAUGUGGAGGAAGUGACAUUAAAGGCAUGCUAGUUGGGUGAUUAUGAAUUUAAAGAAUGCUUGUGUUGAAGUUUGUGAUUCCCAUAGCAUGCACGUAUGGUGAACCACUUUGUGAUGAAGUUGGAGCACAAUUUUAUUUAUUGAUUGUCUUCCUUAUGAGUGGCUGUCGGGGACGAGUGAUGGCCUUUUCUUACCAAUCUAUCCCCCUAGGAGCAUGCGCGAAGUGCUUUGGUUUUUGAUGACUUCUAGCAACAAGUAUAUGAGUUCUUUUGAUUAAUGUUGAGUCCAUGGAUUAUACGCACUCCUUCACCCUUCCACCAUUGCUAGCCUCUCUUGUACCGUGCAACUUUUGCUGGUACCAUACACCCAUCAUAGUCCUUCCUCAAAACAGCUACCAUACCUACCUAUUAUGGCAUUUCCAUAGUCAUUCCGAGAUAUAUUGCCAUGCAACUUUCCACCGUUCCGUCCAUAUGACACGCAUUACUUUUGUCAUAUUGCUUUUUGCAUGAUCAUGUAGUUGAUAUUGUAUUUGUGGCAAGGCCACCUUCAUAAUUUUCAUACAUGUCGCUCUUGAUUCAUUGCAUAUCCCGGUACACCGCCGGAGGCAUUCAUAUAGAGUCAUAUCUUGUUCUAUCUUUGAGUUGUAAAUCCAUAAAAGUGUGAUGAUCUUCAUUAUUAGAGCAUUGUCCUAGUGAGGAAAGGAUGAUGAAGACUAUGAUUCCCCACAAGUCGGGAUGAGACUUCGGACUUUACAAAAAGAAAAAAAGGAAAACAAGAGAAAGGCCAAAAAGAAAAAAGAAAAAAAAAGAGAAGGCCAAAGAAAAGAAAAAAAAAGAAGAAAAAGAAGAUAGAAAGGACAAUGCUACUAUCUCUUUUUCCACACUUGUGCUUCAAAAUAGCACCAUGAUCUUCAUGUUAGAGAGUCUCAUAUGUUGUCACUUUCAUAUACUAGUGGGAAUUUUUCAUUAUAGAACUUGGUUUGUAUAUUCCAAUGAUGGGCUUCCUCAAAAGUGCCCUAGGUCUUCAUGAGCAAGCUAGUUGGAUGCACCCCACUUAGUUUCUUUUGUUGAACUUUCAUACAUUUAUAGCUCUAGUGCAUCUGUUGCAUGGCAAUCCCUACUCACUCACAUUGAUAUCUAUUAAUGGGCAUCUCCAUAGCCCGUUGAUACGCCUAGUUGAUGUGAUACAAUCUUCUCCCUUUUUUGUCUUCUCCAUAACCACCAUUCUAUUCCACAUAUAAUGCUAUGUCCAUGGCUCACGCUCAUGUAUUGCGUGAAAGUUGAAAAAGUUUGAGAAUAUUAAAGUGUGAAACAAUUCCUUGGCUUGUCAUCGGGGUUGUGCAUGAUUAAAUACUUUGUGUGAUGAAGAUAGAGCAACAGCCAGACUAUAUGAUUUUGUAGGGAUAACUUUCUUUAGCCAUGUUAUUUUGAGAAGACAUGAUUACUUUGAUUAGUAUGCUUGAAGUAUUACUAUUUCUUAUGUCAAUAUGAACUUUUAUUUUGUAUCUUUUGGAUCUGAACAUUCAUGCCACAAUAAAAAAAUUACAUUGAGAAUUAUGCUAAGUAGCAUUCCACAUCAAAAAUCUGUUUUUAUCAUUUACCUACUCGAGGACGAGUAGGAAUUAAGCUUGGGGAUGCUUGAUACGUCUCUAACGUAUCUAUAAAUUUUGAUUGUUCCAUGCUAUUAUAUUACCCCUUUUGGAUGUUUAUGGGCUUUAUUUUACACAUUUAUAUCAUUUUUGGAACUAACCUACUAACCGGAGGCCCAGCCCAUAUUGCUGGGUUUUUUUUGCCUAUUUCAGUAUUUCGAAGAAAAGGAAUAUCAAACGGAGUCCAAACGGAAUGAAACCUUCGGCAGCGUGAUUUUUUGGAAGAAUAUGAUCCUGGAGACUUGGAGUACACGUCAGAAGAUCCUCGAGGAGGCCACGAGAUAGGAGGCCGCGCCCCCCUUACAGGGUGGUGGCCCCCUAUCUCGUGGGCCCCUCGAGCACUUCCCGACCGACUUCUUUCGCCUAUAUAAGCCUACGUAUCCUAAAACCAUCAAAAAUCAAGAUAGAUCGGGAGUCCCGCUGCCUCAAGCCUCUAUAGCCAGCAAAAACCUCUCGGGAGCCCGUUCCGGCACCCUGCCGGAGGGGGAAUCCAUCACCAGUGGCCAUCUUCAUCAUCCCGGCGCUCUCCAUGAUGAAGAGGGAGUAGUUCACCCUCGGGGCUGAGGGUAUGUACCAGUAGCCAUGUGUUUGAUCUCUCUCUCUCUCUCGUGUUCUCUCUCGUGUUCCCUCUAUGGCACGAUCUUGAUGUAUCCCGAGCUUUGCUAUUGUAGUUGGAUCUUAUGAUGUUUCUCCCCCUCUACUCUCUUGUGAUGAAUUGAGUUUCCCUCUUGAAGUUAUCUUAUCGGAUUGAGUCUUUUAUUUGAGAACACUUGAUGUAUGUAUUGCCCUGUUUAUCUGUGGUGACAAUGGGAUAUCACGUGCCUCUUGAUGUAUGUUUUGGUGACCAACUUGCGGUUCCGCCCAUGAACCUAUGCAUAGGGGUUGGCACACGUUCUUGACUCUCCGGUAGAAACUUUGGGGCACUCUUUGAAGUACUUUGUGUUGGUUGAAUUGAUGAAUCUGAGAUUGUGUGAUGCAUAUCGUAUAAUCAUGCCCACGGAUACUUGAGGUGACAAUGGAGUAUCUAGGUGACAUUAGGGUUUUGGUUGAUUUGUGUCUUAAGGUUUUAUUCUAGUACGAACUCUUGAAUAGAUUGAUCCGAAAGAAUAACUUUGAGGUGGUUUCAUACCCUACCAUAGUCUCUUCGUUUGUUCUCCGUUAUUAGUGGAUUUGGAGUGACUCUUUGUUGCAUGUUAAGGGAUUGUUAUAUGAUCUAUCUAUGUUAUUAUUGUUGAGAGAACUUGCACUAGUGAAAGUAUGAAUCCUAGGCCUUGUUUCCUAUCAUUGCAAUACCGUUUACGCUCACUUUUAUCAUUAGUUACCUUGCUGUUUUUAUAUUUUCAUAUUAUAAAUACCUAUAUCUACCAUCCAUACUGCACUUGUAUCACCAUCUCUUCGCCGAACUAGUGCACCUAUACAAUCUACCAUUGUAUUGGGUGUGUUUGAGACACAAAAGACUCUUUGUUAUUUGGUUGCAGGGUUGUUUGAGAUAGACCAUCUUCAUCCUACGCCUCCUACGGAUUGAUAAACCUUAGGUCAUCCACUUGAGGGAAAUUUUCUACUGUCCUACAAACCUGUGCACUUGCAGGCCCAACAACGUCUACAAAAAAAAAGGUUGUGCAGUAGACAUCAUGGAACACGGGUCAUGAAACACUUUGUAGUACGGUGCAAGCAACACAACAAGAAUACGAAGAAGCACAAUCAAGAAUAGAGCAAAACCACAGUACUCGACACCCGUACGACACAAUCUACCACUCAACAUCCUACAUUAAGAAAUUAAGAAUUUAGUACUGAUUUAGGACAAAAUAAGUACGUAUAUUCUGAACACAUUUUACUUGCAUAAUUCUAAGUAUGAGGUUUAAUUUAUUUAAUCUACUCUUGACUUGAGUCACUUUUUUUCAAAGAGUAUAUAUAGGAGACGUAGAACUUGAGAUGACAAGAGAUGGAUUUUUUUGAGAAACUUUUAUUUUCUUUAGGUAAGGAGGGAACCUGUCUUUUCUAAGGCUUAACAGACUCUAACUAAGUACAUGACUCUUUCCUUAACGAUGCUCUGAUACCACCUCUUCUGUGACGCCCUGUUACGUCCAACAGAGUUAGGCGUAACGGAAGCCGUCACUUCAGAGUUGCGCCAGGAUCAGUUAAGGAAAAUAGUAUCAUGUACAAGACGGAGCAACUGCCAUGAGUAGGCAAGCUUUUAUUACAUAGACACCUCAAGUGUCGACUAAGCCUAAGCGACCAUGACGAUAGAUCGUCACCCGCUUCUAGUGCGAGCCUUCUAGACCAACCAUGGAGGACAUCUACUCUUCAUAGACUUGAUUGCCAACAUCCUCAUGAUCAUACUUCACUUCAGAAUAACCAUAGUCGUCAAGAUGACCAGACUCAUCAUUUGUACCAUUCUCUAGUGCCUUAGAGUUCUCAUAACUCCCUUGUUCUGAAAAACAACAUAAGUGCAGCUGAGUAUGUAUAAAAUACGUGCUUCGUAAGUCGCCGGGAAAAGUGGAUGCAUGAGUAUUUUUAAGAGGAAAAACUUUAUCGGCCAUGGCUACCACCACCGAGCCAUUAGCUCAAAAUACUUUGUAGGUAAAAAAAAUAUUUUCCCUUAACCUGAAAAUCAAAUUUUAUUUAUAAAAUCUACUGGCGACAGAGCGAUGUGGGAUCUUACAUCCUGUGUUAGAGGAAAACCCACACGACGCACUUCCAAACCCGGAAGCUGGGAGUGAUAUCACAUUUAUUCUGAUCAGAGGUGUACUGCUUUGCCCGUAGCAUCACUUGGUCCAAGUCGUCCAUGCGCUACCCGUGCGCACGACUAGAUCAAGGAACCAGAACCUUUAACCAGCUCGUAGACUACCUCUGCUUUUCCACCUUGCCUUACUAUAGGCCCGCGGGCCGAGACCCCUGACCGCCGGUCCCGCCCUAGGGUGACUGUACCUACCCGGCUACAGCCACCUUCUCACCCAUGCAGAGGCAACUACUUGGCAUCGGUAGUCGGUUCAGCCCGUCCCAUUCCAGGCCUAUGGUCAGUACGGUUUGCGCCGCUUUUGACGUAAGCGCCAGUUGGUUGUGUCCUAAUGUGAUACCCUAUGUAGAGGAGUCUGCCAUCCAAGCCAACCCUACAUGGGUCGUCUUCACCAACAUGAGCUCCCAUACCCACCAAAUUUUUAGUUAUAAUGUAACCCUGCCCGGGUCACGACUACUUAAUACAGAUACUUCACUUGAUCUGGUCCAAUUGCCAAAUCAGUGGAUCCACCUGAUCCAAAUAUCAUUUUAUUUAUGAAAAGUAUUUAUUUUUAAUUCUUAUGCAAAAUUUUGGAAAUGACUCAUAGCCCGGAAAACAUUUAUGAAGACAUGAUCAAGGAGAUGACGACUUGCCGGGUAGCGCCCCGACCAACUCGAAACCACCAGAUGGGGGUCCUAUGGGUCUGAGAUCGACUCCUGAUAAUUAUUUCACAAAGAAGUUUAUAUUUUCCCUAAUCAAGAUCCAAGCAUCAAGAAACAAUUCCAUACGGUGCAAUCCAUUUUAAUUAAAGAGGCAAUGAUACAUGCUAGUGUGUAAUUAGAAGCAAAAUGCAUACAACACAUCAAGAAGUAGUACGCACAUGCACAUCACAAAGAGCAAGCAAGCAAGCUCAAAAGGAAAAAUGUGUUUAGCUGGUCGAACCCAACCCCGGCAGAAAUAUCAUUUCUUUUUUCUCCAACUAGUCAUCUUCCCCAGCUCUCUACCUCUCUCUCUCACUGUCACUGGUAUGCUCAGCCACGAACAUAACCAACUCCAUCUCUCUCUCCCUAACUACAGAGCAGGCCGCCGCCGGCUCGAUCUGCCACUUCCGGCCAUCUCCGGCGACACCGCGGACACCCACAGAAUCCCCUCAACUCCCUCUACCAUAUACCCCCAUUUAUUUGAUCCGCCGCCGCCAAAAUCGCCGCCACCCUCAAACCCCAGCGCCGUCUGCAUCGGGUCCGAUGGGUUCACCACGGGCCGCAGCAGCAAUGGCAUCUCCCUACCUACAAACUCCUCCUGCAGAGCUGCACGCACGAGGCGUGCAACUAUGGCCGUCAGGCGUGACCAUCUUAACCGGUGCGGCUCCGGCAACAUGGCCGCUACAGACGCCCGGCUCGCCUUUGUCUACUGCUACUAGGGUAAGUGCCAGUCCAAAUUUCUCUCUGUGCAGUGUUCUUACCUCUGCUGCAAGUGUUUGUGCUAUGACUCCCCUUACUGCCAUGCUUCUUGUUAAUCUCAAGACCAAGGAAUUAAUCAAGCUUUACUCUAUGGUGUGGACGUGGUCUCCAGAUUUAUUCUAUAUUGUUUAUUCAAUUUUUAGCUCUACUACACUAUCCUCGCACUACUAUGAUUCUUUUUUAAUUAAGCUCAUAACUAGGAAUUAACCAGUGAAUUCCUACUGUCACCGACUUGAUUAAAAAGCGACAAGUUAAUUUCUUGUGAUGGUUAGGUGCUGCCACAAACUAAAUCUAAAUGUUGCUUCUACUGUGUGUGCGCGUGCACUCAUUUCUGCACCCUACAACAGUCAAGUGAACAUCGACAUUGAUCACUCAAAACAUUCUUAGAAAGGGGAUCAUGAAAGGGAAAAUAAGAGGAUGUCAGGAAUUUAUUUGUACAAGAUUUGCACAAAGUAUGUUUAUUUAUUUUUUUUGUUUUCAGAAUGAUGCAUGUGCAAAUGAGACAAGGCAAACAUUAGCCAAACAGUGUUCAAUACAACUAGGAAGGGAUCAUUAAGAUGAGUAGCAUACACAGGAAGCUUGAGCUAUUAGCUGUACAUGUAAAUCUUAGCAAGUUAAUAUUUGGGAUUUAAUUCUCAGCAUGACAUGUCUAUUAUAUACAUAGAUCUAGUACAAGACAGAGAUGGACAUGCACAGUACACAUGCAUCACUUAACCACCAUGUACUAAUUUGUCUUCAUCUAAUAUAUGUGCUUUCUUUUUCUAACCAUCAUUCUUCUUUUUACAGAGUAACUAGAGUCCAAAAGAGCAGGUGUUCAUGUUCUAAGCAAAGGUGAAGAUGGAUCAAGCAAACAAAGCUGCAAAAGCAAGGCACUUGAAUAGUACCUGAUGGCAACUCAGCAUCCGACCAAAAGAGUGGAUGGGGAUGGUGGGGAGAGCUUGGUUCUCUCUUGUGCGUGUUGUGUGCAGUAGAGGAAGUCAAAGGUGAAAGGAGGAGGCUGCUAUUUAUAGUAGUGUAGGGUGCUAGGUCGGUUUGGUAAAAGAGAGAUGAUGAGAAAAAGGGUUUCCCCCCGCUUUAUAGAUAAAGCAUCACCGAACAACCGAAUCCUGCCGAUACAAACACACACACCACACACCACACACACCCAAGGCUGGAUACAAGGACGCUGAUAACAGCAACACUACCCCGACAAAAUCCUAGCCAACAUCAGAUGAACACAAUCAGUACUACUACGAUGAUGUCGGGGCCCUCAACCAUGGGCGGGCCACCGCGAAGAGGAGAAGCCGAGUAGGACGAACAAUGAGCUCCAAAGGGGCGCCUUCAGCAAGGAAACGACACCAUCGUGUCGCCACCGCCCAAUCCAAGGAUUAGAGUUUCCCUCGGAGCACUCCGACGACAAAUGAGAUGCCGCGACGGCGCCUUCAAGAAGGGGACGACGCUGGAACGCCGCCGCCGUCGGCCUGGCAGAGCAGAACGGGUUUUCACCCCGGCCAACACUCAUCGUCACCGGAUUGGAUGAACGACCCACCCCGGUCAACACGCCGCCCACACGACCAUGCUGACCGGACAACGCCCGAGCCGCGUGCUCCGCCCAAGAGCACCCCGGCUACCACCAACCGGGCCGCCGCCACGGCAUCCGAGCCCCACCCUCAACCAGGACACACCGAACGGACGCGGCUGACCAGAACGAAGCGGAAGCUCGCCUUCCACCCCAAAGUCGACACCUUGGCAUGAUCGGUGACCUCGGCGGCCGGAUCAGGGCCAGGGGAACUCCGGCGGCCACCCGCGGCAGCCGCCAGAUGCAACGGAGGGGGCACCCUGCCCCUUCCCGGAGUCCCCUGCCACCACCAGUAGGCCUCGCGCGCACCACCACACCAUGGCGCCACCCCGGCCUGACGAGCCCGUCGCUGAGUCCAAAGAAGAGGGAGGGAGCUCACCCGAGUCCGACGCAGACGAACAGCCGCCGGAGAGAGCCGCCGUUGCCGCGUGCAGAUCGGACAACCACCAGGCCGCAGCAGCGCCGCUGCAGCCCACCCCACUCCGAGGUCAAGACCGACCUCGGCCACCGCCCCGCGCCGCCCGCCGACAUCCAGGAGCCGGAUCCGGGAGGAUGGGGCCGGAUCCGCGCGAGCACGCCACCGCCCAGAUCGGGAAACCCCGCGGCCGCCACGCCGCAGACGAGCUCGCCGUUCGACGUCGCGUCNNNNNNNNNNNNNNNNNNNNNNNNNNNNNNNNNNNNNNNNNNNNNNNNNNNNNNNNNNNNNNNNNNNNNNNNNNNNNNNNNNNNNNNNNNNNNNNNNNNNNNNNNNNNNNNNNNNNNNNNNNNNNNNNNNNNNNNNNNNNNNNNNNNNNNNNNNNNNNNNNNNNNNNNNNNNNNNNNNNNNNNNNNNNNNNNNNNNNNNNNNNNNNNNNNNNNNNNNNNNNNNNNNNNNNNNNNNNNNNNNNNNNNNNNNNNNNNNNNNNNNNNNNNNNNNNNNNNNNNNNNNNNNNNNNNNNNNNNNNNNNNNNNNNNNNNNNNNNNNNNNNNNNNNNNNNNNNNNNNNNNNNNNNNNNNNNNNNNNNNNNNNNNNNNNNNNNNNNNNNNNNNNNNNNNNNNNNNNNNNNNNNNNNNNNNNNNNNNNNNNNNNNNNNNNNNNNNNNNNNNNNNNNNNNNNNNNNNNNNNNNNNNNNNNNNNNNNNNNNNNNNNNNNNNNNNNNNNNNNNNNNNNNNNNNNNNNNNNNNNNGGCCGUCUCGCGCCAGCCGCGGAGCACGAGGGGGAGGAAGAAGAGGCCCCGCCGCCGCCCCCACCGGCCGGGCUUCGCCCGCCGGCGUCGCUGGGCGGCGGCGAGGGAGGAGAGCAGAGGAGGGGGAGGUGGGUUACGGCGGCUAGGGUUCCCCCCUGUCGCUCGCGAGAGCGACACGGGAGGGGACGGGGGUAGAUAAAUACAUAUGGAGCCGAGUCGUAAAAGAGAGAUGUGGCUGACAUGCCUGGUUGCAUGAGCAUGCAAGCCUCCACAUGUAAUCAUGUGAGUUGUACAACGGACAAGUGUAUAGUGCAUGGUUGGACACGAGUUGGCAUAUACUUUGUGUGUAAGGAAUGAGACAAGGGCCUAAUUGUAAAUCUGCAAACUAUAAGGGAGUUGGAGAAGAACCAAUGUACAUGGCUAAAUACUAACUUUUUUUGUUGCAAUAAAUUUUUGAUAUUAGUGUUGUGGUUAAUUAUAAUUAUUCAACUAACUAUGCCUUCUGACACUGGUGUAACAUAGCGCCGUCAAAAAUAUCAUUAUCUAAUUUUAAGGGUUUUUACAGUAGCCAUGAUAGUUUCAUUUAUAUUUGAUGGAAUGUUGUAACGAGAUAAUUUUAAGGCAAGACACAUGAAU